rnacentral:lncRNA from 1 species
CUCUCCAAUCAAUACUUUGAGGCACCGCGGAGAUGUUUACGUCAUCAAAUGACACCACUGGCUCUCUCUCGAUAUUUAGUGGGAGAGAUACGCCGGUAUAUUGAGCAACAAAUUCGCUUUUUGUCAUAUCGGUAAACUGAUUGAUACCGAGAGUGUACGAAUUUCCGUUGCGACUGUUAAAGGUUUCGAUAUGCUUCACGUUGUUCUUGAAUAUCUGAAACCGGCGCAUCUUCUCGUCGUCGUCCUUGUAAACUCGGCCGUACUCCGCCAUCCAUUCUUCAAACCGCUUCAUCAUGGGAUCAUUGGGUUCGUCACGAGAAGCUGCCGAUGGCGAAGCCCACAUCGCACAGAGAAACAAGAAAAGAAACACGAGUUGAACUUUGGAAGCCAUGCUUAUGUAGCACUAAAUAUCUAGUAUAUGUAUGAGGAACUUGGAGAUUGAGCUACAAGAGCUUUUGUUGCUGAGAGUAUGGUCUCAAGAUCGAGUUUAUAUAGAAGUUCAUGCCUUCGAAUGUACGGGGGAGAAUUAAUGGGUGGGGGCCUACAAGACGUCACAAAUCGCCAUCAAAUUAAGAUUAAAUAGUUCUGGACGGCUUGCGACACCACAUCGUGUGGUCACUAGUGUAGUGAUCCGCGCAUUACGCCGAGUAGAUACUAUUAAAAUAAAAUUUUGUAUAAAAUAAAAUAUUAGUUUAGUAUGAAAAAAUAGUAAAUAUAGUCUAUAUUAUAAACAAACACUUCUAAACAAAAUAAAACUAAAAUGAAAAAAAAUUAAUCGUUUCAAUAAAAUUAUUCAAGCUUGUUAAAAAAAAAAUCGCAUAUCAUACAAAUGGAUGAUUAAAAUUAAUUUUAUAAUACAAUAAUCAGUUAAAAUAUCAUAUAGCAGUUGAUAUGACUAAAAAAAAACUCACAAUAAUUAAUAUGCAAGACAAUUAAUAUAUACAGAGAUAAUGUGAAACCAUAUAUACAUUAUGAGGAGAUGAUGUGAAGCCAUACAUCCUUACGUGUCUGUCGAGGUCUUGAAGUGCGUGAUGUUGAAAAUAAUUAUUACAACAGAAUUACAUUAUAAGAACACAUUUUCAGAACACUUUUGUGUAAUCAUAUUUAUACUAAAAUUUUUAAAAAAAAUUUAGUAAGAUCUAAAUAUAAAGCGCAAUUCAAUUAAAAACAAAAAGUCUCCUACUCAACUAGCCGCACUCAGCCCACUCGGUCUACUCGGCCUGAUUACAAAUAGAAAAAAAUAAAAAUAAAAAAUUGAUCACCAUCUUCUCUUCUCCUCCUCCGCCGUCGCAGCAUCUUCUCUUCUCCUCUGUCGCCGCAACUGACGAGGUAGAAUUCCGGCGGCUGGAGUUCGGUUGCGAGAAUCUCGCAGGGACCGUCGAGGGCUAUAAUCGCCACAUGUCCUUCUGUCACAGUUUGCUAGAGGAGUGAGUGACAAACAUCAAAUCUGCCAUACAUAUAACGACCCCACAUAGAAUAACACUUUUAAAAGUGUCGGUAAUUUAGCUAACAUCAUUUUUUUUUACCUAUACUGAAAUUUAGAAGUGUCGCUAUGUACCGUUUUUGUUGUAAUAUUAAUGGAGGGGGAACCUACGGUUUCGAACGGAUUGUUGCUUGUAAUCUAAAAAUUUUAACACAUUCUCAAGAAACAUCAACAAAACUUUUAUUAAAAUUUAAAAAGGAGGGUGAAAGAUCAAACGGUAAAGGAGAAGAGUAAAAAAAAAAUAAUGUUAGCUCUUUAAGCCUUAUUAAAUCUAAAGAAAAGAAGAAAAAGUUAAAAAAAAAAGUAGACCCUACUAAUCCUAAAAUUUAGUCAUAAAGAUUAAUGUAUAGAUAUAGUAGUAUAGAUAUUCUAAUCACAAAAAUAUUUAAGUUUCUCUACUUUUGUCACAUUUUAACUUUAUAAUUUCUUUCGUAGGACAUUAAGUGACUAAAUAGAACUCGACGUACCCCUACUCGUCAUGAGAUCAUCUUAGGUGCAAGCAAAAGGAACGUACGUUUCUCCAUUUCUAUCUUUUGACUCUCUAAAUUUAAUCUUUCGUGCAUAACUUCUUGUCUAUUUUUCUGUUGCUUAAGCACAACGCAGAAAAUAAAAAGACAAGUGGUUUAGCCCAUUAUAAAUUUAUAUAGAAGCCUAGUAUCAUUCAAACUCGAGGCUACGUCAUCUGAUAUUAUGUAAAACUAGUGUAGAGACUCGCGCGACGCAGCGGAUAGAUAAUUGAAAUAAAAUUUUAAAGUUUUAAUAAAAUUUAUAUUUACAGCUUAUUGAUGUAUAGAAAGCUAUACCAUAUUAAGUACAACCAAUUUGCAUGACUAAAUUUAAUUUUUAAAAAUUUAAAAUUAUAGUUAGAAACUUAUAUAAUUUUUUUUAAAAUUAUCGAAAUAUAGUAAGAGACAUACAAUUUUAUCAUAUUAUGUAACUUUUGAACAUUCCAUUGUAAAAGAUAAAAAAGAGCCAGCUCUAGUUGUAUCAAGCACUUCUGUCCAAGUAUCAAAACAAAUUGAGAAUAUGAAACACAUAAACAAUAAGUUAACGUAUCUGGCUUAAGAAAAUUUUGGGUGAGAUCUCAGGUUCCAAUCUCCAGUUCUCCACAUCAUACUUUUUAGUUUACGAAAGGGACUUUACCUACAACAGUGCCUACUCAAAAAAGUGGUCAUGGGAUGAAAAUAAAAUAAAAACAUAAAUUAAAAAAAACUAAUAAUUUUUGGAGCACUUCUUCAUCCACACGAGCUUGCUCAUCCAAACCUUAUAUAUCUUCUUAAAUUCAGCUGGUAGUUGCCCCCCUCGUCGAGUCGCUUUUGGAUUUCUAUUGGGAUUUAUGAACAAACACCUCAUCUGCAUUACCAAACUGUGAUAUCUAAACCGAUAUAGCCUUAUUAUCACAUCAACCACAGAAAUUCUAAUUCUAAAAUAAUUUGGAUUUACUAAGAAGUUCCUGCGAUUCUCAAGAAGCGAGCUCCCGCGCAGCGUCCCCUUGAAGAGGUGGCUUAGAACGCCGCUCGCCUCGGCCCAGUUGUGGGUGCACGCGAGCUGCGCGAGGAGGCAGCCGAGGCAGUGGCGGUUCACAGCUAGCUGCUCGGCUUCGCAGGAUGAUAAUUCUCGAAGGAAGCAACGUUCUUUGCAGGCUUUUCUUCUUCUUCUUUUUCUUUUUCUUCUUCAUCGUCCUCAUUAUUUUCAUUAAUGCAAUGAGAGAGAGAGAGAGAGAGAGAUGAGCGUUGUGGUGGGAGAUUAGAUGAUAAUGUUGCAUGAAAAAUAUCAGGUCAUGCAAAAAGUAGAGGGCGGGGGAAUUAAUGGAGGAUGGGAGUUGAUUGGAGUUACAAAACCCACUCAUUAAUGGAGGAGUUACAAAGCCCACUCAUUAGUAGGGGGCGGGAUUAAUGAAGGAGGGGAGUGGACUGAAGUUAUAAAACCCACUCAUUAGUAGAAUAUCAUGUAUGUAAUUAAAUAUUACAUCAUGAAUUAAUUAAUUAAUUUAAUUUCAAGGUGAGUGCUAGAAAAAUCACCUGUGGAAGAGAAAGAGCCAAGAAAGAGCCAAUGAAGAAGGUAGCGCCUCCGUGAUUUAGUAGAUUUUUACUUUGUUUUUCUGUAGUUUAAAAGUUGCACUUAAUUAUCAUAUAAUUUUAUUUUUAUUUUACCGAUAGAAUUUUGACAUAAGUUAGCAAAGUAAAUUUUUUUUAAAAAAAAAUCAUAAAGUGAUAUCCUGCUUAACAAUAAAUUCUUACAAUAAAAUAAAAAUAAUAUUAGUAGAAUAGUUAAGUACUAGUGUAGUGACCCGCGCGAUGCAGCAAAAAAAAAUAUUUUAAUAAAAAUUUACAAAUUAAACAAAUAAAUAUGAAUGUAAAGAAGAAAAAAAAUAUAUAACUAAAUUUGAUUAGACUUAAUAAUAUAAAAAACACAUUAAAAAAUAUUUAAAAUGGAAUCACAACUCAACAAAAAAUAAUAAAAGAAACCGAAAAAAAAAUAAGAAUUAUAUGAGAAGAAAAAUUAUUACAUAGAUAUUAUAAAAAAAAAUUGAAAUAUUGCAAGUGAAAGAUAACAAAUAUUAAAGAGCACACUGAAAAGAUUUUAAUUGACAUUUAACAAAUCAAAUAAACAGAUUCAUCCAUUCAAUUCUUUUUUUGACGCAAAUAAAAUUUUUUUAAAAAAUCAAUAGUGAAGUGACCCCAGCAUUAUAUAUAUAUAUAUAUAUAUAUAUAGACACACACACGCGCGACAUCGACGCGAUAUUUUAAUUAUUAUAUAAUACACCAUGAUAAUAAUCCAAUAUUAUCAGUAUCACAUUAGUGUCGGCUUGUAUUUAAGAGGAAAAAUAUAGAAACCAACAAUAAAACCAACAAUAAAAAGCCCAUUGAAUAAGCUUCCCAGGAGAAAAAAAUCCCCAUAAUAAUAUUGGAAAAAAUAUUCUAAACAUUCAAGACAAAAAAGAAUCAUCUCUCUGAAACAAAAGGAAACUUUUCAAAAAGUUAGAACGAAUUAAAACAAACAUAAAAUGUGCCAAAAAUAAAAAUAAAAAAACAUCCAAAAAUGCUUUCCUAAGCUCCAAGCGAACAACAAAUUAAAUGUGAAAAACGAAAAAAGAAACUACUGCUAGAAGUAGAGCUAUAAGGAAUCGAACCUUCUAUUCUAUUGAGCUCUCAAUUCAACAGGUGGAAGGUCAAUAAUCCUACAAAAUUUUGUUGAAGUACAUGCAUUCAAUUGUGGUUUUAUUGGGAGAUGAGGAGGGAACGGUUUUGGAAGAUGAGGGGUUUUGGAAGUUGGGAGAUGAGAGGGAAUAGUUUUGGUGCAAUUAUAUGCAUUCAAUUGUGAUUUUAUUGGGAGAUAAGGAGGGAACGGUUUUAAAGAUGAGGGGUUUUGGAGGUUGGGAGAUGAAAGAGAGCAGUUUUGAAAGAAGGAGAUAACGCCAUGUCAGCAAGAUAUUGGGGAUUCAUGGAUUAGUAUACACAUAUAACUUUUCAAAUCAUCGUAAAAAGUGAAAAAAAUAUUAAACAACAGUAAGAAAAAUUAAAAUUUACCUAAUUUAAUUCAUCACACUAAUUGGAUCCCAAUUCAUUCAUUUCCAUGAUCCAAAGAUUCUACAAUCUCAUUCUCUCAACGAUAUGUGCGUACAAAUUAAACUUAUAUAUGUUACACCAAAAGUCAAAUCAGGCAUUAUAAUUUUUUAAACUUUAUAAAAUUAUAUCAAACAAAUUAAAUUUUAAUUUGUUUUUUAGAGGAAAAUAUAAUUAGUUACAUAUUUUGUUCAUUUUGAGAUCAUUUUUUAUCCCCGAGUAAAACCUAAUAAGAGAUGUAGUGCCAAUAUGCAUAUGCUGAUCCUUGAAAAUUUUUAGAAUGUAUCUGUAUGUUAUCUUGAUAAAGUGGCAUGCAUCUCCAAUCAAUCAAAGAAUUUUUUUUAAAUUUAUUUGUUCCAUAAUAAUUAUUAAAAAUAUAAUUUUAUUAUAUAUUUAAAAAUAAAUAUAAUUAAUUUAUUAUUAAUGAUGUGAUGUAACUAUGAUACAGUAAACUUUUUUCUGCCAAGCCAUCUAUAACGCCUUUCCGGAUAGAUAACUGCAUGCAAUACAUUCUUUCUAUAUUAUUAGGAAGCAGUUUGCUCGUCCUUUGUUUGGACAGAUGCAAUCAUGAAUGAGGGGGCCCGACAAACCCUCACUCCGUACACAAGAGUUAUUGCAGCUGAUGUGUUGUUUAUUGGAAUCGGACCACGUGUUGCACAUACGGACGAGGUGUGAUAAGAAAAGUCUCAUAAAUUAUUAAUACCGUCCAGGCUCUCUUGAGCGAUUAGUCUCUGUCCAAAAUAAUCGUGAUAGUUACAAAAUACUUGUUUGUUAUAUAUCAUUUGUGUCGCUUAAAUAUUCUAUAGCUGAUAUUCAAAAUUUUUUAAAAAUGCCCUGUAGAUAUUUUAUCAAUAAUUUUCAUCAUCACGCAUACAUCACAUAAAUAAUUUUAAAUUUUAAAUUUAUAAUUAAAAUUCUGAAUUUAAUUUUAAAUUUGAAUUCAUAUUUUGAACUUAAAAUUGUAAGUCAAUUUUAAAUCUAAAUUAAAUUUGAAAUUCAAAUUCAAAUUUAUUUUUUGAAUUUGAAUUUCAAAAUAAAACUUUGAAAUUAAAUAUAAAACUAAUUAAAAAUGUAGAUUCACUACAACAAAAUUAAGUUAUAGAGACACAUGUUUGAGACAUUUCAGUGUAAGUGUCUCAUUUAUUUCAAAACAUUAAAAAUAAUCUAUUUAAAUAUAAAGUCUAAUCCAACAAAAAAAAUAAAAGGUUACUUUACUCAACCCACCCAAUCCAGAGCAUUCGACCCGAUUACAAACAGAAAAGGAAAAAAAAAAAAAUCGAUUAACAUCUCCAUUUCUUCCCUAACUCAAUCCACUGAAAUUCUAGAAGAAAAGCCCUUCAAUUCUCUCUCCUCCUCCUCUGCCACCGCAGCCAACGAGGUAGAGUUCUGACGGUUACUAAAUGUUUAAAUAAGUGUCGGUAAAUUAGCAGCACUCUUUUUAAGUUAUACCGACGCUCUUUAACUGUCACUACAUAUACCUAGCGAUCCCACAUAUAGCAAUAUUUUUUUAAAAUGUCGGUAAUUUAGCAACCAAUAUUUUUUCUGACAUGUACUGCUGAUAUUUAAAAGUGUCGCUAUAUAUCGUUUUUGUUGUAGUGAUAAAAAAUUCACGCCCCUUGUUGGCCUUUAUCUUGUCCACAUGUUGCAGCCGUGGUUUUGGCAUGAAGAAGAUCGACUUCGGCAUUAUUGAGGAAAAAUAGAUUUAAGUGAUUGAUAGCUUAAAGUUAAAAUUGUAGAUGUCAAAUGUGUAGUUUUACUAAUGUUUUAGUCAAUUAUGCUCAAAGGGAACAUAUAUAUAGUUCAAAAAUUUGUUAUGCUUUUAAUCCUAUAUAAUUAAGUAAUAGGGGUAAUUUCAAAUGUUCCGGUCAAAAGGUACAAAAUAUAACAAAUGUCUUUACAAAAUUGUAGAUGUCAUUUUUACCACUAUAAAUUUAUGAAUUAUAGCAAAAAUAUCCAUUUUCCGGUUAACUAAGAUUAUCGGACCAAUUUUUGUAUAUUAUAUAAUGAAUCAAUUAUAAUCUAAUUCUCACAGUCCAUUAGAAAAUAAAGAAGUGAAUAUUUAUAGGAUUUCACAACAGUUCCUAAGUUAGAAGACGACCCAAAAUAUGCAACGUCCGAGUUCGAAGCUGGUAACUAAAGUUAAUUUAAUGUGUUAACUUCAAUUUACCCCGUGAUUAAGUAGAUUUUUUCACUUUUUCCUCCAAUGGUUUAAAAAUUCAUCGACAGAACCUGAUGUCAGUUACGAAAGUGAAUUUUUUUAAAAAAAUUAUAGCAUACUAUGCUCUUUAACAAUAAAUUCUUACGAUGAAAUAAAAUAAAAUUGUAGAAUACUUAAGUAUAACUCUUUAAGCCACGGAAUGACCCUGUUAAAUAUAAAAAUAUUUAAAACACCGUUAUCUAACAGCUUAAGCUUUUAGAGUACAACGAUUGUUUAAACAUUUUUAUAUUUCAGUUUCGUUCAUUUUGCGAUUUUCUUUUCUUUUUUUCCUUUUUAAAGUAAAACGUAGAGACUUGGUGCUUGCCAAUGUGCAUGUGAUGAAAUCAUUAAUUUCUCUCUUGUCCAUUAUUAUUUUGAGAGAAAGGUACACUACCUGCUUUAUUCAUUAAAAAAUAAGUUAAACAAAAGAGUAAGAUAAAAGAAUCUCCGAAGUAGGCCGAAAAAAUAAAAAAAAUAAUUAAAUUAAAAAAAACACAUAACCAAAAAAAAAAGAAAAGGAUAUCCUCGUUUAAACACUCUAUUCUCCUCCUACUGAAGCAUCAAACAUCUGAUCGAGUUGACAGCUAGUAAGAAAUUAGUAUUAGCCAAUCUAAAAAUAACGAUGUUCCUUACUGUUCAGAUAACUUACCAAUUGACUGUCAGUUCAGUCAUUCUAUUUCUAACAUACUGAGCACUAUCCUUUUCCAUGCAUCCACUUAUCUAUCCCAUAAUAAUAACCUCUCUUGUCCAUUGUUGGAUCGGAAAGUUGCAAACAAGAGUGGGACAACUUUUCACUCCGUCCGCAAGAGUUGUUGUCGCUGCGCUUGCACCUCAUUUAUUGUUGUUGUAUGAUUGAAAUUAUUUAGAGCAUGUGUGGCACAACAUGAAUAAGAAUAAGAGUUUAUGCAUAUAUAUAUAUAUAUAUAUAUAUAUAUAUAUAUAAAAUUGAGCUCAUAUGCUUUUAAAAGUACCAAGUUAUUAGUGCUUGUAGAUUUUUGGCCAUUGGAUUAAGAGAUAUGCGGUUAGGAUGAUAUGGGCCCCCUAGGGUUGAGUUGGUGGUUGGUUGCAUAAUAUAAUCUAAUGGUUGAAAAUGAUUCGAGGAGUAGAUCUAACGAUAAAAAACUUAAAAGCACCAAGUGUUUGGUGCUUUUACAAGCACCAUAGCCGUACUCUCUCUCUCUCUCUCUCUCUCUCUCUCUCUAUAUAUAUAUAUAUAGUAGGUCUUAUGUGCUAUUAGGAGCACGGGGGCUCCUGUGCUCCUAAGCCGUUUUCGAUGAUGGAGCUUCCGAAUCGACGAUCGGUUCUGUUAGACUUGAUCUAGCAUAUUUGAAGUAUCUAGGAAAUAAAUUUUGUGACUUUUUUAUAAUAUUUAUCUAACGAUCGAAAGGGUUCAAAAUCAACGGCUGAAAAUAAAAAUCUUACAAAAAGUCGUGAUAUAGCAUUAAAAUUUUCGAUCAAACAUAUUGAUCUUGCUGUAAAUAGUAUAAAGAAUUUUCUAUCAAAAUUUCAUCUAAUUUGAAUACAUCAACUAUUAAAAAUUGUUGAUUUUGAACUCUUUUGAUCGCUAGAAAAAUGAUACAGAAAAAUCACAAAAAUUAUUUUCUAGAUAGUUCAAAUACGCUAGAUCAAGUUUAACGAAGCUGAUCGUCGAUUCGGAAGCUUCAUCAUUGAAAACGGCUUAGGAGCACGGAGGCCCCCGUGCUCCUAAUAGCACACAACACCUGCAAAACGGAAACUCCAUAAGCUGUCCCUGCAAAAGUCCUAAUUUAUGCAGAUAUGUCCCUCUGAUUAACAUCUGUUAGAGAACUGUUUAUUUUUUAACAGUUUUCAUGUGAAAUGACCAUUUUGCCCUCACAAAUAUAUCCCUCCAAAAGCAUCUUCCCCCUCUCUUUCUCUUCCUCUUCCUCUUCGGGCCGCCGGAGCGGAUGGCGGCGACGGCGCGGGUCGAGCUCGCCGGCGACAAAGAAGAGGGAAGAGAAAGAAUGAGAGGAAGAAAAAAAGGGAAGAGGAAGAAGGAGAGGAAGAGGGAGAGGAAGAGGGAAGAGAAAGAUGAAGAGGGAAAGGGUUCNNNNNNNNNNNNNNNNNNNNNNNNNNNNNNNNNNNNNNNNNNNNNNNNNNNNNNNNNNNNNNNNNNNNNNNNNNNNNNNNNNNNNNNNNNNNNNNNNNNNNNNNNNNNNNNNNNNNNNNNNNNNNNNNNNNNNNNNNNNNNNNNNNNNNNNNNNNNNNNNNNNNNNNNNNNNNNNNNNNNNNNNNNNNNNNNNNNNNNNNNNNNNNNNNNNNNNNNNNNNNNNNNNNNNNNNNNNNNNNNNNNNNNNNNNNNNNNNNNNNNNNNNNNNNNNNNNNNNNNNNNNNNNNNNNNNNNNNNNNNNNNNNNNNNNNNNNNNNNNNNNNNNNNNNNNNNNNNNNNNNNNNNNNNNNNNNNNNNNNNNNNNNNNNNNNNNNNNNNNNNNNNNNNNNNNNNNNNNNNNNNNNNNNNNNNNNNNNNNNNNNNNNNNNNNNNNNNNNNNNNNNNNNNNNNNNNNNNNNNNNNNNNNNNNNNNNNNNNNNNNNNNNNNNNNNNNNNNNNNNNNNNNNNNNNNNNNNNNNNNNNNNNNNNNNNNNNNNNNNNNNNNNNNNNNNNNNNNNNNNNNNNNNNNNNNNNNNNNNNNNNNNNNNNNNNNNNNNNNNNNNNNNNNNNNNNNNNNNNNNNNNNNNNNNNNNNNNNNNNNNNNNNNNNNNNNNNNNNNNNNNNNNNNNNNNNNNNNNNNNNGAGCACGGAGGCCUCCGUGCUCCUGAGCCGUUUUCGAUGAUGGAAUUUCCAAAUCGACGAUCGGCUCCGUCAGACUUGAUCUAGCGUAUUUGAAGUUUCUAGAAAAUAAUUUUUGCGAUUUUUUGAUAUCAUUUACCUAGCAAUCGAAAGGAUUUAGAAUCAAUAAUUUUUAACGGCUGAAAAUAAAAAUUCUAUAAAAAAAGGUGAUAUAGCAUUAAAAUUUUCGAUCAGAAAUAUUGAUCUUGUUGUAGAUAGUAUAAAAAAUUUUGUAUCAAAAUUUCAUCCGAUUUGAAUAUUUCUACACCGUUAAACUUGAAAAUGGUAGAUAUCAACUAUUAAAAAUUAUUGAUUUUGAAUCCUUUCGAUCAUUAGGUAAAUGAUAUCAAAAAAUCACAAAAAAUAUUUUCUAGAAACUUCAAAUACCCUAGAUCAAGUCUAACGGAGCCAAUCGUCGAUUCGAAAAUUCCAUCAUCGAAAACGGCUUAGGAGCACGGAGGCCUCCGUGCUCCUAAGAGCACAGCAGCCCUACUCUAUAUAUAUAUAUAGAGCUUCUAUAUUUUUAAAAAUACUAAGUUAUUGGUACAUAGAGAUUUUUGGCCAUUGGAUUAAGGGAUAUAUGGUUAGGAUGAUGUGGGACUCUUAGGAUUGAGUGGGUGGUUAGUUGAAUAAUAUGAUCUAACGGAUGAAAAUAAUCAAAAUGAUUGAUUUAAUAGUAAAAAAUUUACAAGCACUGUUGAUAUUUUUACAAGCAUCAUAGCCGAACUUAUAUAUAUAUAUAUAUAGGCUACUAUACUCUUAUGAGUACGAUUGCCCUCGUACUCAUAAGUUGUUUUCGACGAUAGAGCUUCCGAAUCGACGAUCCANNNNNNNNNNNNNNNNNNNNNNNNNUAUAUAUAUAUAUAUAUAUAUAUAGUCCAGUUAUGGCGCUUGUAAAAGCACCAAGCACUUGGUGCUUUUAAGUUUUUUAUAGUUAGAUCUACUCCUCGGAUCAUUUUCAACCAUUAGAUUAUACUAUUCAACCAACCACCCACUAAAUCCUAGGGGGCCCACAUCAUUCUAACUGUAUAUCUCUUAAUCCAAUUGCUAAAAUUCUAAAAGCACCAAUAACUUGGUACUUUUAAAAGUAUAAGAGCUCAAUUCGCUCUCUCUCUCUCUCUCUCUCUCUCUCUCUCUCUCUCUCUCUCUCUCUCUAUAUAUAUAUAUAGAGUCCGGCUGUUAUACUAUCGGUAGCACGGAGGCCUCCGUGCUACCAAGUUCUUUUCGAUAAUGCGGAAAAGCCCAAGUUCUAAGUUGGCACUAAAGUUAAUUUACUGAGUAAAUUCAAUUUACCCACACCCCCGCCCCCUGUAAUUUAGUGGAGUUUUACUUUGUUCUUAUGUAGUUUAAAGGUUGCAUUUAACUAUUAUGUGAUUUUUUAUUUUUAUUUUAUCGAUAGAACUUGACAUCAGUUAGCAAAUUGAAUUUUUUGUUCUCUUUAACAAUAAGUCUUUACAAGAAAAUAAAAUUAAUACUAUAGAAUAGUUAAGUAUAACUUUUCAAACCGCAUUAUAAGAAAGUGAAAAAAAAUUAAACGGCAGUAAAAAAAAAAAUAAAAAUUACCUAAUUAAAUUCAUCAUACUUACUCGAUCCCGAUUCAUUCGUUUCCCUUCAAAGAUUCUACAAUCUCAUUUUCGCAACGAUAUCUGAGUGCAAAUUAAACAUGUAUUAAACCAAAAUCAAAUCACGGAUUAUAAUUUUUUAAUGCAUAAAUCUUUUAAACUUUACAAAAUUAUAUCAAAUUAAUUAAAUUUUAAUUAAUUUUAAAAUUUAUUAGGGAAAAAGAUACUUAGUUAUCCGUUUUGUUCAUUUUGAGAAAUUGUUUUGGCAUUGACUGUUACUAGUGCAACUGGUAAAGAGGUUUGGUGAUUGGUAUCCGAGGUUUUAAAUUAAAGUUAAGUUUAUUUCUAAAUAAAAUAAACGAAAGAGUAGUAUAUAUGCUACCUAUCUCUUAAAAAAAAAAAAAGAAUUUCUUUUGGCAAAACCUACUGGAUGUAGACCCAAUCAGUACGUGUGCUAACGUUAUUUUUGGCAAAAUCUACUAGAUGUAGACCGAAUGUGUACGUGUGCAAAUGUUAUUUUGUCUCUUAUCAAUCAGUUAGUAAAGUCGCAAUCCAGAGGGGGACAACUUUUAUUGCGGACUGAUGAAAUUUUUUGGACCGGCAUUGGGCAAGCACCGUUCCGCAAAUUUGUGCACCUCCUCGUGAGCAGUCGAGCAAUUUUGCCUGUUCACUUUUUGAAGAAAACAUCAAGACCGAGCAAAGCAAAGAAGAAAAGGAGCGAGCAAGGAAGAAUGAGCUUGGAAAAAAUCGCGAUGUACAUUGGAAAAUAGUGGGGUCCACGAGGCUGCACUUAGCCUCAUGGACCAUGUGGAGUGAGAGGUCCACAGCAGUCCUUGUGCUCCUAACUUUUUAACCACACAUCAAAGUUUGAUGGGUGGUUAGAAUGAAAGAGGGAUGAGAUAUUGGGGAGAAAUUGGAUGUCCCUAUUUUUCUUAUUCUUGAAUUUUUCUUUAAUAUCUCAUCCCUCUCUCAUUCUGAUCAUCCAUCAAACUUGAUGGGUGAUUAAAAAGUUAGGAGCAUAAGGGCUGCUGUGCUCCUAAUAGCACAGUAGCCCUACUAUAUAUAUAUAUAUGAUUUUAUAUAUUAUUUUAUAUUAAUUUAUUUUUAUAUUUAUAAAAAUUAUAAUUAUUUAUGAUAUGACAUAAAUCUAAAAAAAAAUUAAUAUCCUAAUUAUGGAUAUUCUUCAUAAUUAUGAGUAUUUAUACUAAAAGCAUAAAUCUAGAGUCAAAGAAAAAUUAACAGCCGAAUUUUUUUAUCUCGAAUUUUUAAUUGGUGCACGUAUAAUAUUCGUAUAAAUCACGUAUCCGAAUAAUUUACGAAUCUAUUUUUUAGCCGUAUUUUUAACAAAAUUUUAAAAUUAAAAUACAAAUUUUAUCCGUAUUAUAUUCAUACCGAAUUUUUGCCGAAUCCGAAUUAACUACCUAUGUUGGACCACAACAUACAUACCGAUUAUUCAGAUACAACUUUAUUUCGCACACAUAUAUGAGAAUUGGUUAAAUUGCACCACAGGCCUCUAAAGUUAAAAAUUUAGUUUGGGCACUAUAUGCGUUAAUUUCGCUCGGGCAUCAUCUGAAGUAAGCCAUGCCAAACUAGGCCCCGCCCUCAACUACAGGCCACCCCCCCAUCUACAGAACAUUCCAAACUAGGUCCCCUAACAUUUCGUCUUUUUUUUUUAAGUUUAUUUUUUGUUUUAAAUUUUUUGAUAAAUUGAGAUGUUUUAGUGAAAUAUAUUAAGAAUUUUAUCAGAUUUUCCGUGAUUCCAUCAAAUUUAAAAGAUUUGACCAUUUCUAGCAAUUGAAACUUGAAUAAUUUACAAGUAACUAGAAUUGCCCAAAUUAAACAAAUUUAGAAGAUAAAAAGAUGUUAAGAGUUGAGAAGUCGAUUUCAAAGGAGCCUAUGAUUGAGCGCUUCUUCAUACCCUUCUACCGAUUACUGUUUAGAAUCAAUUUUUCAUUAUUCUGAAAAGGCUUUCAGUAUAUAGGAAAUGAUGAAAUGAUCUCCCACAGUCUCAGAUUAUAUAAUAUAGUACUAUAUAGUAUAGAGAGAGAGAGAGAGAGAGAGGAGAGGGUUGGACCUAUAUACUAAUUACAAGUAUCCCAUCAUGUUAUUAGGUUCUUAAAGUCAUUGGAUCUACUUUGAUUAUGAAUAGCGCUAUGGAUUAACACUUAUCUCCAACCUACAACCACCUACCACAUCAUCUCAAACCUCAAAUCUCUCUAAUCCAACGGGCUAAAAACACACAGUAUGAACCUCAUAAUACUUUUACAAGUAUUCUAGGCCUACUCUCUCUCUCUCUGCUCUCUCUCUCUCUUAUAUAUAAAUAUAAUUACGGCUAGAUAUACUAAUUAAUAGUAAAAUGCUCUUCCUUUGCUAUCAAGUUUGUUAACCUUGGAUGUGAAAAAAUUAUGAGGGUCGGACUGAUAUUAGUCGGUUAGAGCUUGAGUGCGUCCCUUAGCGGUGGAUGGUCCCCACUGGGAUGAUAUGAAUUUAAUCCGAAUUGUUAGAAAUAAUGAAAAGAGUUAUGAUACAGAAGGCUAAAAAAUCCGGUCACAAUAAAAUUUUGCUACUAAUAGUAGCCCAGUCUCUCUCUCCUCUCUCUCAUCUCUCUUCUCUCUCUUCUCUCUCUCUUCAUAUAUAUAUAUAUAUAUAUUAUAAUAUAUACAGAGUUGAUGCUAGAAACUAUCGCUAGUAAACCGACGCCGUUUUACUACCGAUUUUGUUUUCGAUGAUAGAGCCUUCCAACAAAUGAAGAAUCAGCUCCGUUUAAAUUGAUCUAAACCAUUUAAACUACUAGAAAUUCAAAGUUCACGCACUUUCGAUAUUUUCUUUUAUCCAUCAGUGAACAGAAAAAGAAUAGUUGAAAAUAAAUACUCUUUAAAAAAUGAUGAUAGGAGUCUUUAAUCAGAUCAAGAGUAUAGAUCUUGUUUUAAAUAGUUUAAAGAAUUUUCUAACAAAAAUUCAAUUGAUUUGGAUAUUUUUACGCCGUUAAACGAGAAAACGCCUCUUAUCAACCAUUAAAAUUACAAAUUUUGAAACUCUUUGAUCAUUAGGCAAAUGAUGCCGAAAAGAUUUGAAAUUUGAUUUCUAAACACUUCAAGUGGUAUAGAUCAUGUUCAACGGAGCCGAUCGUCAAUUUGGAAGUUCUAUCAUCGAAAACAAAUUGGUAGUAAAACGGCUCGUUUACUACCGAUAGUAUUCUAGCUCAACUCUCUCUCUCUCUCUCUCUCUCUCUCUAUAUAUAUAUAUAUAUAUAUAGCUCAAUUAUAGGUGUUCUUAAUUAACGUAAAAGGAACUUAUAAGCAAACUUUAUAGAGAAAAAAAAAUAUUUACAUGCAUGUAAGGAUAACAUUUUGGGGACUUCUUGCUUUAGAUUCAACACUUUCUCUCAUUAUAAAUAUAUAUAUAGAGAGCAAGAUGAGCUGGAAUGCUAUUAAUAGCAAACAGGUAUUGGUGCCACCCAUUUGUUUUUUAUGAUGAAGUCUUCAAAUCGACGAUCGGUGUCGUUGAACAUGAUCUGUACCACUUGAAAUAUUUAGAAAUUAAAUUUUAAAUCUUUUCGACAUCAUUAACCCAGUCAUCGAAGAGUUUCAGAUUUUGUAAUUUCAAUAGUUAAUAUGAGAUGUUUUCUCGUUUAACGGCGUAAAAGUAUUCAAAUCAAUUAAAUUUCUGUUAGAAAAUUUUUUAAACUAUUUAGAACAAAAUCUAUACUCUUAAUCUUGAUUACAAAACUCCUAUCAUCACUUUUUAAUAGGAUAUUCAUUUUCGAGCCGUUCAUUUUUGUGUCCACUUGAUAGACAAGAGAACAAUAUCAAAAAAAUAUAAAAUUUAAUUUCUAAAUACUUCCGAUGGUAUAGAUAAUGUUAAACGAUGCCGAUCGUCGAUUUGGAGGCUCCAGUAUCGAAAACAAAUGGAUGGCAACGAAGUCCAUUUACUACUAAUAGCAUCCUAGCUCAACUUUGUCUCUUUCUAUAUAUAUAUAAAGAGUAAAGCUACUAUACUAUUAGAAGCACAGUAGCCCUUAUACUCCUAAGUUCGUAAUUAUUCAUCAAUUUUGAUGAAUAGUUAGGAUUAAUAUCUCAUUUCUCUCUUAAUUUUUUUUCUUUGAAUUUCUUUUCAAUUUCUUUUUUCUCUCUCACCCUAACUACCCAUCAAAAUUGAUGAAUGGUUGUGAACUUAGAAAUACAAGGCUGCUGUACUCUUAAUAGGACAGUAGCUCUACUAUAUAUAUAUAUAUAUAUAUAUAUAUAUAUAUAUAUAUAGAGAGAGAGAGAGAGAGAGAGAGAGAGAGUCCGGCUACUAUACUAUCGAUAGUACCAAGCCCUUGAUACUAUUGAGUUUUCUACCAUUAGAUCUACCCUUUGAUCAUUUCCACCCGUUAGAUUAUACUAUUAAACCAACCAUCCACUCAACCCUAGGGGACCACUAUCAAUUUAAUCAGGGACCACUAUCAUCCUAACCAGCAUAUCUUUCAUAGCAACGCGAAAACUCAAUUAGUACCAGGUUUGGUUAUGAUAUUAUAAGCUAAUCUAUAACAUAAUUAUAUAUAUAUAUAUAUAUAUAUAUAUAUAUAAUAUAAUAUAUAUAAAAUACUACUAUAUAAUAUAUAUAAAUAUCCGGCUAACUAUAUUAUCAUAGUACAAACACUUCAUACUAUCAAAAUUUAACUGUUAGAUCUAUUUUUUUUUGACUAAUUUCAUCCAUUAAUCAUACUUAUUGAUCAACUACCAAUCAACUCUAGAAGACCAUUAUACAUCUAACUAGCAUAUCUUUCAUCAACCAUUACCAGCGCUGUGAUGAUAUUAAAUAGUAUAGUGGCGAUAAUAUAUAUAUAUAUAUUAUAUAUAUAUUAAAUAUAUAUAUAUAUAAAAAUGAAUGAAAUACCUUCUAACACCUUUGGUCUAUCACUUCUAAACCUUGGAUUAUUUUUUAUUACAAUAACUUGGAUUAAAUAUAUAACCAACUACAUCACACAUACGCACCACCUACCCACCAUCAUCUCAACCUACAUAUUUCAAUCUGAAGGGUAAAAACCCAAAACACCAACCAAUUGAGUGCUUUGAAGAGUAUUCUACUUACUCAUUCCUACUCUCUCUCUCUCUCUCGUCCCAGGCGUUAUUAUAUCCUCUUCUCCUUUCUCUCCUCUCUCUCUACUUCUAUAUAUAUAUAAUAUAUAAUAUAUAUAUACUAUGAUGAGCUAUACUAUCGAGCACGGAUCUUCCCGUGCAUUACAGCCGUUUUCGAGUUGCGACUUCGAAUCGUCGAUCGGCAACUUUCCGUAUUAAACUGAUCUAAGAUAUUAUGAAGUACUAAGAAAAUAAAUUUAUGAUACAUUAUUAUUUACGCUAUGAACGAAGGGCUCAAAAUCAACAGCUGAAAAUAAAAAUCUUACAAAAUGUAAUAAUAUGACAUUAAAAUUUUAAAUCAAAGAUAUUGAUCUUGUUUUAUAUAGUAUAAAGAAUUUUCUAUCAAAAUUUCACGUGAUUUGGAUAUUUCUACACCGUUAAACUUGCAAACGGCUCACUACGGCCAUUGAAAUUUGUUGAUUUUGAGCCCAUUCGAUCACUAGGCAAAUGAUAUCGAAAAAUAAUAAAAUUUAUUUUCUAGGUACUCCAAAUACUCUAGAUCAAAUUUAACGGAGCCGAUCGAUGAUUCGAAAGUCGCAACAUCGAAAACGAGCUGGAAGCACGGAAGGCUCCGUGCAUAUAUAUAUAUAUAUAUAUAUAUAUAUAUAUUGUCCGGCUAUGAUGCUUUUAAAAGAAUCAAGCACUUAUGCUUGCUUGUAAGUUUUCCAUCGUUAGAUUUACCUUUUUGACCAUUUUUACCUAUUAAAUCAUACUAUUCAACCAACCACCUACUCAACCCUAGGAGACUAAUAUCAUUCUAACCGCACUUCUCUUAAUCCAAGGACCGAAAACCUAUAAGCACCAACGAUUUGAUAUUUUUAAAAGUAUAGGAGCUCAAUUAUUUGUAUAUUAGGAAUGUUGUGCUCCAAGAAGCAUAGAGGCCUCCGUACUCUUAAAUUAUUUUCGAUGAUGGAAUUUUCAAAUCGAUAAUCAGCUCCGUUAGACUUGAUAUAGUAUAUUUGAAUUAUGUAUAAAAUAAAUUUUAUAUUUUUUUGAUAAUUUUUGUAGUAAUCGAAAGCGUUCAAAAUCAAUGGUUGAAAAAAACCGUAUAAAAAAUAAUGAUAUAAAGAUCGUAUAUCAUUAUUAGGAUAAUGUGGGCCCGGCACGGCACAGUUAGGAUAAUGUGGAACAUAAUUAGGGGUGUAAUGUGGGCCAUGCCGGGCCGGCACGGCCAACAUUACUCUGGCCGAAACGGGCCAGGAGUAGGCUGAGCCCGGCUCGGAUUUACAUCUAAGUUGUGCCGUGUCGGGCCGGAUGAACCAACCGUCCGGCCCAGCACGACCCCCAGGCCCGGAAGGUCCGGGCCGUGCUGGGCCAGGUCGUGCCGGGCUUUGGGUCCGCCAUUUAAAAUUUUUAUUUGUAAUUUUUUUCAAAAAUAUAAAAUUUUAAAUUAUGAUUAAUUAAGUAUUUCUAUUUAAAUUUAUAUUGUGAUUAAAAAUUUUUAAAUUUCUAAAUAUUUUAAUUUUUCUAAAAAAUUAAUAAAUUAUUAUUUAUUAUUUUAAAUAUAAUUAAUGGAAUUUGCUCCAUCGAACCAACAUAAACAUGGUGCUACUACUAUGUGGGCUAAGAGCCAUGUCGAUCCGCAUAAUAUUUUUUUUACAAAAAUAUUUUUAAUAGAAUAAAAGUUUUUUACUAAAUAUUUUUUAUUUAUAUAAAUAUCAAUGACUAUUUAUGAGUCCGGCUGGGAUACUAUUGAUAGCACCAAGGGUUUAGUAAUAUCGAGUUUUCCACCGUUAGAUUUAACUAUUUGAUCAACUGCAUAUUUUUCAAUAAGGGAUAAAAAACUAAUAGCACCAAGCUAUACAUUGAUAGCAUUCCAGCCUAGUUCGACCAUUUAUAUAUAUAUCUUUUUAUAUUUAUUCUUCAUUAUACAUUGGCUUCAUAGUACUAUCGUAUAACACAACCCAAUUAUGUGGCUAGGUCGAGUUACAGCAAACCCUUAUUUCCACCCUAGAAUACGGGCAUACACAAUUGCAUUGCAUAAGGAGACACAUGUUCGAUCCAUUUUGUAAUACUAAUUAAUAAGCAACAGUAGAUCACAAUAACUGUAGAUCUUCAAACUAGCUUACAUAGAACAUACCGAAACAUAACAGAAACCACAAGGUCGAAGAAAGCAGCUGAACAGUUGGAUGCCUACUUGCAUCCUUAUUUUAUAACUAAGCAUAUAUAUAUGAUAGCAAACUGCAUGCAGUGCGUUGCUAAUCAUCAUCACUUCCGAUCGACCUACACUGAGCUUCGACUUUCAGAAACCAUUUUAAUGGCUUCGACAUUGGCCCCAGAUUGUAGAGUGGGAUAGAGAGGAUCCAUGGCGAUUCCACAUAAUCCAAAUGACGAUGACACAUCUCUUGCCAUGCGGAUGUAUCCGCCCUCACCCCAUCUGGCACCCCAUGAGUUCCUUACUAGCCAAAAUUUUUUUCCGCUGCUAUCCUGCCCGUAACCUAUAAUGGCGAUGGCAUGAUUGAGUCUAGUUCCACAAGGUCCGUUAAACACACCGCCCUUGUAAUGUUGAAAGUUUCCACUGGCAUCGAGAGCAGCAGUAAUUGGUUGAUUCGACACAGCGUACAUCAUGCUGCUUUCGUUGUUCCUCCGCACACGUGCAUAACUAGUAAUAUAGGCUGAAUUGGGCACGCCAUUGGUCUUGCAGGGGCCUUUGGAUGCUUUGUAAGGGUAGAUAGCUGCCGAUGCCACGCCCUUGUUAGAUAUGAUGAAUUCGAAGGCCCUGAACUCCCAGCCGCCUUUGCACCCGUAGCCUUUAGCACAAUCGAGAACUUGCUGCUCCGAUAAAUAUACUAAGUUCCCUCUUUUGAUCUUGUAGAUUGAUUCUACCGUCGCAAUUGCAGCGAAUGCCCAGCAAGAACCUGUGCCGAAACAAAGAUUAAAUCGUGUUAGCAUAACUAGUGUAAGCAAAGUUACAUAUAUAUGUAGGUUGCCAUGAUAAAAGAAAACAUUCAAACUAAUUACCUUAUUAGAUGUUAUUUGCAAGUACUGAGCUGCUUUUAACUUGUUUUCAACACUUGUCAUGCAUAGGGAUGUCCCGUUCUUUUUGACUAAAAUGUAUUUUGCUUACUUUAAUAAUAUAAUUAUUGUAAUAACUUAAUUAAUAAUAUGAAAUUCAAUAAUAGUCCUAACAUCCAGAUGAAUUGAAUCAAGUCGAAGUCUAUGAAUGCUAUGAUUAAGUCUUUAAGUGUGUUGGAUACAUUCUUUUUAUCACCACGUAUUUCUGUAAUAGUUGAUUAUCACUUACCAUCCACAUUCGAUAGAUAGGAUGAUUUUUUAUUAACUAGAUUCAAUAUUUCGAUAAUUUCCUUGUAUGAAUACUGAUAACAUGUCCUAAUGAAUGUUUAGACACUUUUGAUCGGCCAAAUAAUGGACUUUGUUGGGUUUUAGUGUGUGGAAAUUUGGUCCUGUAGUCUAAAAACGGCAGAAGGCAUAUUUGGUGAGAUUUGAUCAAAACAACAUGUUUAAAGUUAACUAAAAGAAUAGGUAUUUGUUCCUAGCUGAAGAAAUGAAGUUGCUUUGACAAUUUAUAUAAUCCACAUUAAUCCUUACCACAGCGGCCUUGGUUCUUGACACUUGUUACGGCACCGUAGUUUCUCCAAUCAAUACUUUGAGGCACCGCGGAGAUGUCUACGUCAUCAAACGACACCACUUGCUCUCCCUCGAUAUUUAGUGGGCGAGAUACACCACCAGUAUAUUGAGCAACAAAUUCGUUAUUUGUCAUAUCGGUAAACUGAUUGAUACCGAGAGUGUACGAAUUUCCGUUGCGAUUGUUAAAGUUUUCGAUAUGGUUCACGUUGUUCUUGAAAAUCUGAAACCGGAGCAUCUUCUCGUCGUUGUCCUUGUAAACUCGGCCGUACUCCGCCACCCAUUUUUCAAACCGCUUCAUCAUGGGAUCACUUGGUUCGUCACAAGAAGCUGCCGACGGCAAUGCCCGCAUCACACAGAGAAACAAGAAAAGAAACACGAGUUGAACUUUGGAAGCCAUGCUUAUGUAGCACUAAAUAUCUACUAUAUGUAUGACGAAAUUAGAGAUCGAGCUAAAAGAGCUUUUGUUGCUGAGAAUAUGGUCUCAAGAUCGAGUUUAUAUAGAAGUUCAAGCCUUCGAAUGUACGGGGGAGAAUUAAUGGGUGGGGUCCCGAAUUAAGUUACAUGUACUAUAUGAUUUAACUCCGCCAUCCAUUCUUUAUAUGAUUUAACUCCAACCAAGUUACAUCUACUCGCAUGCUUCAAUACCCAAAUAGGUCCUAAUUAAGUUACAAGACAAUCCAAAAUAAGGAAAGCCCAAGUUCUAAGUUGGCACUAAAGUUAAUUUACUGAGUAAAAUUCAAUUUACCCACACCACCACCCCCUGUAAUUUAGUGGAGUUUUACUUUGUUCUUAUGUAGUUUAAAAUAGAAGAAUUUCUUUUGACAAAAUCUACGAGAUGUAGACCCAAUGUGUGUACGUGUGCAAACGUUAUUUUGUCUCUUAUCAAUUCUUAGUAAGGUCGCAAUGGAGAGGGGGACAACUUUUAGGGGCCGUUUGGUUGGAUGUAGUUACAAAAAUGGUGUAGUUUGAAGUACAUGCAAUUGUAAAUGUUCCAGUUUUAACUACACCUAGUCUGUUUGAUUUUAUGCAGUUGCAACUGUUAUAGUUAUAUUUCUUCUGUUUGGUAGUGUGCAGUUGAGAUUUAAAUUUAUAAAUUCUAUCAAAUUUUAGAUAGAAAUGUGAGAUUAUCUCUUUUGAGCAUAACGUAAUCAUAUUUUAAAUAUUAAUUAAAACUUUUAUAUCUAUAUAUAAUUUAUAAAUUAUAAAAUUGUAUAUGAAUUUAAUAAAUAUUAAAUGUAAAUAUAUUAUAAAUUUGUUCAAAAUAAAAAUUAAGAUAUUAUUAAACUAACAAACUGAAAAAUAAGAAGCGCAUGAAAAAAAAUUUAUUUUACCCUAACAGAUAUUACUAAAUCAUAUCAGAUUUCAUGAAUAUGUAUUUUUGAAAAAAAAUAAAAAAAGAAGUGUAUGAAAAAAAAUCACAUUUUGUUUAUUUUUUUAAUAGGUGAGUUGACUCUGGCUCAACCGCUGUAGUUGGUACUACAGCCAAUUUGGCUGCAUUACCAACUGUUAUAGUUGGGCCUUCUCAUGCAGAUCAACUACAGUAGUUGAGUCUAACUACACCAAACCAAACAAAAAAUUAAUAGAUGCAUGUAUUUUCAACUGCAAUGCAAUUGAAAAUACAUGCAACCAAACAGCCAAGUUCGAGCUAAGUUUAUUUUUAAAUGAAAUAAACGGAGCAAUACCCAUCUCUUAAAAAAAAGAAUUUUUUUUGGCAAAACCUGCGAGAUGUAGACCCAAUUGCCCAACGAGAAUAGGACUGAUAAAGACUUGCAUGAAUGAAAAAAGUUAUAUUUAAAUUUGAAAAGUACUAUUGUCCAGAAUAUUUUUUUUUAUAAAAAAAAAUAGCACACUAUCCGCUUCAUUUACUAAGGAAUUGAAUUAGACUGUAAUGAUGAAGCAACCGAGGCCUCGAGAGAGAUAGGGAAAAAAAAAAAAAUCUAAUGUUCAGAAUAGUUAUUUAGCAUUAUGAAAGAUUUUUUUAAAAAAAAUUUAUGAAUGCCACGCUUAUGUAUUAAUUAAAAUAUCACAAUGCCCUCAUAAAUUAAUAAUAUCAUUCAUGCUCUUUUAAAUGGUCAUAAAUAUUAUAGUAAAUAGCUCCCGUGAUUAGUCUCUAUCGAAAAAUCUUGUCAUUAAUUGUUAUAAAAUAUUUAUUUUUUCACCAUUAGUAUAAUAACCCGUGCGAUGUUAUAAAUAAAUAGUGCAAUGAGAGAGAGAUGAGCGUGGUGGUGGAAGAUUAGAUGAUAAUGUUGCAUGAAAAAUAAUAGGUCAUGCAAAAGAGAGAGGGCGGAGGGAUUAAUGAAGGAGGGGAGUUGAUUGCAAUUACAAAAUACACUCAUUAUUGGAGGAGUUAUAAAGCCCAUUGAUUAGUAGGGGGCGGGAUUAAUGUAGGCCUAGAGGGGAGUGAACUGGAAUUAUAAAGCCCACUCAUUAGUAGAAUAUAAUGUAUGUAAUUAAAUAUUACAUAAUAAAUUAAUUAAUUAAUUUAAUCUCGAGUGAGUGCUAGAAAAAUCACCAUUGGAAGAGAAAAAGCCAAGAAAAAGACAAUGAAGAAGGUAGCGCCAUGUUGGAUAAGAAAUCGAGGUUUAAUAUAGAGUUAUAGAAGAUUAUAGAUUAUAGAUAAUAUGACAUAAUUAUUGUUCUUUAAAAACUGAAAAAUGAUACGGAGCAUGAGGUACUAAGUUUAAAUCUUAUCAAUCUAGUUUCAUUUAAUUUCUUUUCAUCUAACUUAAGUUAAUUCAAGUCCAUAUUUUAAGUCUAUUAAAACAUCUCGAGCCUAAACUCAAGGAAGAGUGUUGAUUUUAAGGGCGUGUUUGGUUCGAAGUUGGAGUCGGAAUCGGAAUCGGAAUCAAAAUAAGUUGGAAUCGGAAUCGGAAUGACUCAUUACCUAAUUCUGUUUGGUUCAUCACCUGAAUCGGAAUCGGAAUAAAUCAUUCCUAUUGUCGGUGUUUGGUUCAGGUGGAUAUAAAAAACGUAAUCAAAUUAAUAUACUAACAUUAUCUUUAUAAUAUAUUAAUUUAAAUUCAAAUUAAAUAUUAAAUAUUAAAAAUUUACAUCAAAAUUUUGAAAUAAUGUCAAAAUUUUAAAUCUAUUUUUUUUAAAAAAAAUUAAACUUUGAAGUUGAGUGGAUAAUUCAAAAUGUGAAACUAAAUUUUGAUUUAUUCAAAUUCAAACUAAAAUUACAAUUUAAAUUUUAAUUUGAAUCUAUAAAUUUAAUUUAAGUUUGAAAUAAAAUUUGAAUAAAACUUUAUAUAAAUUAAAAUUUAAUUUAAAUUCAAAUUCAUAAGUUAGAUUCGAAAUACUUGAUUAAAUUUUAAUUUUUAAUUUAAGUUCAAAUUAAAAUUUAAAAUUAUAUAUUUAAUUUUUAAAUUUUAACUUAUAUUUUAAUUAAAAAAGUUGAAAAAAUAAAUUUAAUCCGAAUAAAUAUUCAUUCCGUCCUGAUUCAACUUCCAAUCCGGCAUUCUAGGCCGGAUUGAAAAAUGAGGUGAUUGGGGGAUUCCCAUUCCACUCGGGAAUGGGAAUCGGAAUGAGACUCCCGCGUACCAAACACCCACAAACGGAUUCAUCCAUUCCGAUUCCGAUUUUAGGGUGAAAAAGAAGCGAACCAAACACGCCCUAAAUAUUAAAAAUAUUGCUUUUUAAUAACUUAAGUUUUUAGAGAUAAAUAUUUCAUUUUUUUUUAUAGAUUUUAUUUUUUUUCCAUAUUAUAGUGAACGAUUAUACUUAAUUACCAUUAGAAAAUAAAGAAGUGUACCUUAAUUUAUAUGAUUUUACUCCAACCACUUUUCAUCUACUAGCAUGCUCCAGUUCCCAAAUGUGUCCUAAAUUAGAAGACAAUCCAAAAUAUGAAGAGCCCGGGUUAGAAGUUGGCAACUAAAGUUAAUUUAAUGCGUAAACUUCAAUUUACUCUCCAUGAUUUAGUAGAUUUUUACUUUGUUUUUUUGUAGUUCAAAAGUUGCACUUAAUUAUCAUAUAAUUUUAUUUUUAUUUUACCAAUGGAAUGACAUAAGUUAGGAAAGUAAAUUUAUUUAUAAAAAAAAAAUCAUAAAGUGAUAUCCUGGUUAACAAUAAGGGCAUGUUUGGUUCGUACAUUUUGGAUCCGAAAUGGGAAUCGGUUUGAUCAAAUCCUGCUAAUUUUGUUUGGUUUACAGGAAUCGGUUUGGGACUCCCAUUCCGGAUCGAAAUGGGAAUGGUCCAUUAGCUUACAAAUUAAUUCCGGUCUCCAGGCCCGGAUUGAAGUUUCAAUUCCAAGCCCAUACUCACCUCUUCCUCAGACCCAGCCUAACGUUUCUCCAUCUUAUCCAUUCUUUCUCUCCAUAUACCAAUCUUUUUUCUCUUUUGUCAUCAUUUAAAAAAACGUGAUAUAUUAUUUUUUAUUACAAUUUUAUUCAAAAAAAUUUAUGCAUUUUUUUGUAAUUUUUUGCAUAAAAAUUUUUAAAAUAAAUUCCUUUUUUUUGGCAUAGCUCUGACUUGAGAAUAGUAUUAAUUUUUUUUUUUUAUAAAUUUUAGAUAGUUUUAUAAAAUUAUAUUUAAAAGUAAAGUUAGAAUUAUGUUAUUCUAUUAUUUUUUACUUUGUAUGAACCAAAUAGUAAAAUAGGAAUAAUUCAUUCCAAUUUUCAAAUCAGAAAUGAACCAAACGUCUUGGAGGAGUAGGGCAAUCCAAUUGUCAUUUCAAUUCAUUCUCAUUCCAUUAUUCAUUCCAAUUUUACUCUUGAACCAAACAAGCCUUAAAUUCUUAUAAUAAAAUAAAAAUUAUAUUAGUAGAAUAGUUAAGUAUGUUUAACUUUUCAAAUCAUGUAAAAAGUGAAUUAAAAAAUAUUAAACAACAGUACGAAAAAUUAAAUUUACCUAAUUUAAUUCAUCACGCUAACUCGAUCCCAAUUCAUUCAUUUCCUUGAUCCAAAGAUUCUACAAUCUCAUUCUCUCAACCUUGUCGGAGUGCAAAUUAAAUAUAUAUAUGGUACAUCAAAAGUCAAAUCAUGCAUUAUAAUUUUUUAAUGUAUAAAUUUUUUUAAACUUUAUAAAAUUAUAUCAAACAAAUUAAAUUUUAAUUUUAAAAUUUUUUAGAGGAAAAUAUAAUUAGUUACACAUUUACUUCAUUUUGAUAUCUUUUUUUAUCCCCGAGUAAAACUUAGUAAGAGAUGUAGUGCCAACAUGCAUAUGCUGAUCCUUGAAACUUUUUAGAAUGUAUCCGUUAUCUUGAUAGAGUGGCAUCUCCAAUCAAUCAAAGAAUUUUUUUUAAAAUUUAUUCGUUCCAUAAUAAUUAUAAAAGGUAUAAUUUUAUUAUAUAUUUAAAAAUAAUUAUAAUUAAUUUAUUAUUAAUAAUAUGAUAUUAUUAUUAAUGAUGUGAUGUAAGUACGGUACUAGACUUUUUUCUGCUAAGCCAGCUAUAAUGACUUUCAGGACGGAUAAAUGCAGUCCAUUAUAUUUCUAUACUAUUUUAGGAAGCAUUUUGCUCGUCCUUUGUUUGGACAGAUGCAAUCAUGAAUGAGAGGGCCCGACAAACCUUCACUCCGUACACAAGAGUUAUUGCAGCUGAUGUGUUGUUUAUUGGAAGCGGACCACGUGUUGCACGUACGGAAGAGGGAGUGAUAAGAAAAAUCUCAUAAAUUAUUAAUACCGUCCAGGCUCUCUUGAGCUAUUAGGGUGUGUUUGGUUGCACGUAAAAUUAGAAAAAAAAUUAAUUUAUUAAGAAAAAAAAAUUUUGGUGGAAAAAAAAUUUUACGCCUUUAGUUAUAUAAGGAAAGAAAAAUAUUUUUCAUGACUUUGUUUUAUUGAAAAAAAAAAAAAAUAAAAAUUAUUAUAUAAUUUUUAUUUAUAUUAUUAAAUAUUAUUUAUAAUUUUAUUUAUAGAUUAAAUAUAUUUAAAAUUAUAAUAAUUAUAUACAUGAUAUCUAUAUAGAUUAAUAUAUUUAUGAGAUAUUAAUAUAUAUAUAAUUAUAAAUAUAUUAUAUAUGGUUGUUUUGGGUUGAAAGACAUAAAAAAAGAAAGAGUAAAUAAAAAACGUUAUAUAUUCAUUUUAUAUGUAUAUAUAUUAUUAUUCAUAAUACGCCAUCAAUUAUUAAUACUAUAUAAUUUUAAAAUUAUUAAUAAGUAAUAAUAAUAUAAUAGCAUAAUGUAUAUUAUUAGUAUAAAAUAAAUCACUAUAUUAUUUAAUAAAUAAUAUUUAUAAACUGUUGAUAUUAUUAUAGUAUAUAUAUAUAUAAAUAAUAUAUAUUAAAUAUUAUAUAUAUAUAAGAAGAGAGAGAGUCACGAGGCCGGGUCCUCGUGGACUCUCUUCACACGGUCACGAGGGAGCAGUUCACUCGUUGGACCGCAUGUUAAUAGCCUGUGCGCGCCCGGAUUUUUCAACCAGUGGUUUUGUCCGGCCGAGCGGAAAACUAAAAUAGCUUCGUUUUUUAAGGAAAUCUGUAAACAAAUUUGCCUGUAAAGAUCUUUUACAGACAGCCAAAGAUAGGAAAAAAGUUUCAACGAAAAAUUAUUUUUCAGAGACUGCAUUUACGAGGUCCUAACGGCCCUUAGUCUCUAUCAAAAUAAUCGUGAUAGUUACAAAAGCACUUAAUUUUACCAUUGGCCUGAGAUUAAUCAUUUGCUGUUCGCUUAAUAUUCUAUAGCUGAUAUUUCAAAUUUUUUGAAAAUGCCUGUAGUUAUUUUAUCAAUAAUUUUCAUCAUUCACGAAUUACACCACCUAAGAUAAUUUAAAAUUUAAAAUUUAAAUUAAAAUUCUAAAAUAUUAAAUUUAAAUUUUAAAUUCUGAAGUUCAAAUUGGUGUGAAGGAAAAUUUGUUCCAAGACAAACUUCUUUUAAUUCUACAAUUAAAUUUGAAAUUCAAAUUAUGUAUUUUGAAUUUGAAUUUCAAAUAAAACUUGGAAAUUAAUAUAAAUAUUGAAUUAAAAAAAUCGAAAUAUUGAAAGUUAAUUAGCUAUAAUAAUUUCUUAUAUUUUGGCAUUCAAGGACGAUUUGAGUUAUAUUCGAAAGCCAAAAAUCAAAUUUUUAAAUUUUAAAUUAGUAAAUUUACUAAUUUAUAAAUUAGAUAUAACUAUUAUUAAUAUUAAAAUUCAAAAUGUUAUAUAUUGUAAAUUUUUAGUGAUGAUGGAGGGCUCAAGAUCUGGUAGUUUAAAUGUAAAACUUGAAAUUAGAAAAAUUCUAUAUUAAAUUUUUCGGAAAUAUUUAGUCAGAUAAAGUUCGGAAUUAUUUUACAACUAUGACUAGUCAGCAGCUCUGGAACUAAGAUUAGGAUAACACUCCGUGACGUGAGAUAAAAUAAGAAAUAUUUAUGAUAUAACUCAUUCUAUUGGAAGAGCAUAUAUGAUAUUUUAAUAUUUUUACAAGUAUCUGCGGUAGUUUAAGAUUUUGAGGAGUAGUUAUGAAACUGUCCCCGCAUUUCAAAAUUUGGAAAAUUGAUCUCCCUCACUUGCGGAUUUCAUGUAGUACAAUUUUUAGACAGUGUUCUUAAUGCAAGUAACAAAUUAUAAGCAACUUUAAAGAAAAAAAAGUUACCUAUUUUUAGGGAUCACAUUUCGAAAAAUCUGAAGAUGAGUUUUUAGCUGUCCAGAUUUCACACUUUGAUAAAAAAUAUGAUCUGAAUAAUCAUAAAAGGGGAUAGCUUACGCUUACCUAUUUUUAAUAUGCACAAGACAUCGACUAUAAAUAUGUGUUGCUAAAAGUAAAAUUUACUUUUGUCCAAAUAAGUGAAAGAUGGAAUUAUUAAAUUAAGGCCAAUUUGCAUAAAAAAUUCACUAAUUUUGGGUUUUUGCAAAAGUGUGACUUUUUUCGUUUUUGUAGAUUCGGUCUGAAUUUUCAGCAAACUGAUCAAAAUACUUUUAUUAUUUUUUCUCUCUCCUCUUUCUCUCUCCUCUUUUUUUCUCUCGUUUAUUUUUUUUUCUCUCGUCGAAGAAAGCAGCGGAGGCAGAGGCGGAGGCUGAAACCCCCUGCCACGCCUUUCACCCUCAUGCUCUCGCCCUUGCCUUUGGUUUUUCUCUUUUUUGUGAUUGUAUCAGCUUUUGCUGAGAAUACGAGUUUAUAGUAAAAAUUCGAUUCGACGCUUCCGUUGUGUAAUCCCAACAAUCGGCUCCGAAUCCACAGCAAUCGGUAUCGAAGCGGGUUGCGAAUUCUCAAAAUCCGGUACCAAGACGAUUACCGAAUUCCCAAUAUAUAUAUAUAUAUAUAUAUAUAUGAGUCCGGCUACUGUACUAUUGAUAGUACCAAGCCUUUGGUACUAUUGAGUUUUCUACCGUUAGAUGUACUCUUUGAUCAUUUCCACCCGUUAGAUUAUACUAUUAAGCCAACCACCCACUCAACCUCAGGGGACCACUAUCAACCUAACCGCACAUCCUUUCAUCCAACGGCCAAAAACUCAAUAGUACCAAGGGCUUGGUACUAUUGAUAGUAUAGUAGCAUAAUUCUAUAUAUAUAUAUGAAUUAGCCUGAAAUACUAUUAAUAGUAAAACGCUCUAUUUGCUAUCAAGUUUUUAACCCUUGGAUGAAAAAUUGUAAGGUCAGGAUGAUAUUAGUCAGUUAUAGUUGAGUGGUCCCCCUAGGGUUGAGUGGUCUCUAUUGGGUUAUAGUAUUUAAUCCAAUUGUUAGAAAUAAUGAAAAGAGUUGAUCCAAAAGCUAAAAAACUGGUAGCAAUAAUAGGAUUUUGCUACUAAUAGUAGCCCAGUCCAAACUAUAUAUAUAUAUAUAUUAAAACACCUCUCUUUAAUUACUUAAGUUUCUAUAUAAAAAUAAUUGUUUCACAUCCUUUCAUAAAUUUAACUUUUUUCAUAUUAUAAUAAAUUGAUUAUAAUAUAAUUCCUACUGUUCAAUUAGAAAAUAAUGAAGUAUAUCUUUAUAUGAUUUAACUCCAACCAAGUUUCAACUACUAGCAUGCUUCAAUACCCAAAUAGGUCCUAAGUUACAAGACAAUCCAACAUAAGGAAAGCCCAAGUUCUAAGUUGGCACUAAAGCUUAUUUACUGAGUAAAAUUCGAUUUACCCACACCCCCUACCCCUGUAAUUUAGUGGAGUUUCACUUUGUUCUUAUGUAGUUUAAAGGUUGCAUUUAACCAUCAUGUGAUUUUUUAUUUUUAUUUUAUCAAUAGAACUUGACAUCAGUUAGCAAAUUGAAUUUUUUGUUCUGUUUAACACUAAGUCUUUACAAGAAAAUAAAAUUAAUAUUAUAGGAUAGUUAAGUAUAACUUUUCAAACCGCAUAAUAACAAAGUGAAAAAAAAUAUUAAACAGCAGUAAAAAAAAUUAAAAAUUACCUAAUUAAAUUCAUCAUACUUACUCGAUCCCGAUUCAUGCAUUUGUUUCCCUUCAAAGAUUCUACAAUCUCAUUUUCUCAACGAUAUCUGAGUGCAAAUUAAACAUGUAUUAAACCAAAAAUCAAAUCACGGAUUAUAAUUUUUUAAUGCAUAAAUCUUUUAAAUUUUAUAAGAUUAUAUCAAAUUAAUUAAAUUUUAAUUAAUUUUCAAAUUGUUUAGGGGAAAAGAUAAUUAGUUAUUCGUUUUGUUCAUUUUGAGAAUUUCUUUUGGCACCGACUAUUACUAGUGCAAGUAAUAAAGAGAUUGGUGGUUGGUAUUCGAAAUUCUAAAUUCGAACUAAAUUUAUUUUUAAAUAAAAUAAACAAAUCGAGUAGCAUGCUACCUACCCAUCUCUUAAAAAAACAGAAUUUCUUUUGGCAAAACCUACCAAAUGUAGACCCAAUGUGUGCGUGUGCAAACGUUAUUUUUGGCAAAACCGACUAGAUGUAGACCCAAUGUGUAAUGUGUACGUGUGCAAACGUUAUUUUUGGCAAAAUCAACUAGAUGUAGACCCAAUGUGUACGUGUGCAAACGUUAUUUUGUCUCUUAUCAAUAGUUAGUAAAGUCGCAAUCGAGAGGGGGACAACUUUUAUUGCAGCUGAUGUGUUGUUAUUCAAAUUAUGGGAGCAGUUGUUGCCCAACGGGAAUAUAAAGGACUGAUAAGAGACGUGCAGGAAUUAAAACAAGUUAUAUUUAAAUUUAAAAAAUACUAUUGUUCAGGAUAGUUGUUUAGCAUUAUGAAAGUUUUUUUAAAAAAAAUUUAAGAACGCCACGCUUAUGUAUUAAAAUAUCACAAUGCCCUUGUAAAUUAAUAAUAUCAUUCGUGCUCUUUUAAAUGGUCAUAAAUAUUAUAGUAAAUAGCUCCAGUGAUUAGUUUCUAUUGAAAAAUCUCGUCAUUAAUUGUUAUAAAAUAUUUAGUUUUUUACCAUUACGUACUAUUAGUAUAGUAACCCGUGCGAUGUGAUUAACAGAUAAUUAAAGGAAAAAUAAAAAACGGCGACAAAGAAAGAGUAAACGACAAUGGAAGAAGUGACGGUGAGGAGAUUCAUCCCGCUGAUAAACGAAGAUAAAAGUUGAAGAAAGAGGAAAAGAUAUAGUUUGGUCUAAUGCAGAGUUGUGAUCCAGUUUGGUUCAUGCAAAAAAAAAAAAUCCGAUUCGGUUCAAGCAAAAAAAAAAGAAAAGCUUGAGACGGUUUGGGGUAAAACCCACACUCUAUAGUGAUUGAUUCAGUUUAAAUAUAAAAAAAAGAAAAAAAUUGGUUCAAAGAUGGAAACAUGUGGAGCAGUUGGGCUGGUUUAGCCCAAUGGAACAGGUUGAUCUAAUUCGUUUCAAGUAAAGAAAGAGAGAAAUCAGACUCGUUCCACGUACGUAAAGAAAGAGAAAAAUAUGUGAAAAACUUAAGCCGGUUUUCAGAGGAGUCUACACUCAACAAUGAUCAGUUCGGUUCAAGUAAAGAAAAAAAAAAUCCGAUUAGAUUCAAGAAAAAUAAGGAACAAAAAAUGGAGAAGUUGAAUAGGUUCUUGAUGAAGCUCACACUUAAUAAUGAAAGGAAUGUUAUUAUGUGGCAAAACUAGAAAGCAUAACGUAUAGGGAUAAAUUGAUAUCGUUAAUGUUGCUUAAAUUUUCUAUUGCUGAUAUUCAAAGUUUUCUACAUCAUUAAUGUCGCUUAAAUGGUAUUCAAAAUUUUCUAUAGCGUAUUUUCCAAAUUUAUUAGAACUAAGAUUAGGAUAAUGCUAUUUGACAUGAGAUAACAUGAGAGAUAUUUAUGAUAUUUUUAGAAGUAUUUGUGAUAGUAAAAGAUUUUGAGGAGUAGCUAUGAAGCGGUCCCUAAAAAUCUCUGCAGUUCGAGCUCUCACAACCUCGUUUCAAAAUUUGGAAGAUUUUAUGUAGUACAAUUUUUAGACGGUGUUCUUAAUUAAGGGAAGAAACUUAUAAGCAACUUCAAAGGAAAAAAAGUUAUAUACUCGAUCGCGUAUAAUUUGGAAAUUUGAAUAUGAGUUUUGUCCUUUUUUUUUGAGAGAGAUCUAGAAAGGUAGCAUAAUACUCGCUUUGUUUAUUUCAUUUAUAAAUAAACUUAGCUGAAAAUGUGAAUCAAAUAGAAUUCGAAUUUGGAUCUCGAGUACCAAGCACCAAAUCCUUUGCCACUUGCUCUAGAGACAGUCGGUGAUAAAUAAUAUGACUUGAACACUCGUGCAAGGUGAUAGCAUAUACCCUCACCCACUUUUCAUAUGCACAAGACAUUAAUUAUAAUGUAUGUUUGUAAUAUACCGGAUUUUUAAUAUAAAAAUAAGUGUAAAUAAAAAUAGUGUAAAAUACUAUUUUUAUUGGACUUAGAGAAUGGAAACAGAAGAUUUAGAAUUUUCUGUAAGAAAUGAGAUUGAUAUUUUAGCAGAAAAUUCAGUGUCAGAAAAUUAUUUUUGUUAGUGACAAUGUUGGCGGUCUCGAGGCGUGACAAUGUUGGUGCAAGUAAAAUUUAUUUUUGUCCAAAUUAAUAUGGAAUAAGUAAUGAGAUUUGAAUUCUUUUUAUUAACCCUUCAACUCAGUUUGUUCUACUUACAGUACGGCGUUGGACCACUGUGUUAGUUAAUUCGCGUAUAAUACGCGAAUUAUACGUGAACAAACGGAAAACCAUAAAAAACGCUCCGUUUACGAAUUUUUUUCCAAAAAACCGAAAAAAACACGUUUUUCUCCCUCCCUCAGAUUAUUCGCGAUAAAAAUGGUUUUUCCGAGUUAUAUUUCGAAAAAUUCGGAUGUAGCAGCGGUGGAAAGAUAAAAUUUCUUGAGAAAUUUGGAUUUGGUGGCUGCAGACUGAUGAAAUUUUUUGGACCAGCUUUUUGGACCGGCAUCAGGCGAGCACCAUUCCGCAAAUUCGCGCACCUCUUCGUGAGCAAUCGAGCAACUUUGACUGUUCAAUUUUGAAGGAAACAUGCAGACCGAGCGAAGCAAAGAAGAAAAGGGGCGAGCGAGGAAGAAGGAGGAGCUUGGAAAAAAUCGCAUUGUAUGUUGGAAAAUAGUAGGGUCCACGAGGCUGCAUUCAAGGCCUUUGAAAACCACAAACAAACUACAAUCCUAAUUAAAGAGAGUCAUCGAUAUUUACAAUCCUAUUAAUAGAGAAUCAUUGAUAUGUCCUAGUUCACCUACUGAUCAACCACGAUAAUUAUAAUAAAAUCAAACUUAUAAAAUAUUGAAAUAUAGAAGAAGGCUUGACUAACAAAUAUAACAAAUAAGUUAAGUCCCCUUAAUCAAAUUUGUAUCUUGGAAUAAUCUCUCAUGCUACUUCUUCUUACACUCAACUACUGUACUUUUCUCUUUCUAAGGUGUUCAAUAUGUGCAUUCAAUAUGUGCAUAGUGUUUCUAUUUAAUUUGCUUUCUUUUUAAUUUUUUCGACAUGAACUUUUUUUUUGAACUUUUUUUUUAUUCUUUUUUCCUUUUCCACUUCACUAUUUCUUUUCUUUUUUCCUUCUCUACUUCCAUCGCAUCAUUGGAAUCCGAAUGUAGCAAUGUAAGUUCCAUCCAGAUUUAAUGCAAAUUAUAGUGAACAGCAUAGAAAUUUGCACUUUUUUUUUUGCAUAUUUUUUUAUUCAGCAAGAAAACAUUUAAGUUAGCAAUGAUAAUAAAAAAGAAGACAAUAUUAAAAUGAUACAAACAACAAUCAACUCUUAUAUCGAAAAAAAGGUAUGAAGACACAGAUCACACAAAACUUAGCCAGUUCCCGAGCAAACAAAAGAAAAGUCCCAAAAUUAGGGAUUCUGUGCUUCGAGGGGCAUAGAGGCCUUUUUACUCCUAAAUUAUUUUCGAUGAUGAAAUUUUCGAAUCGAUGAUCAAUUCCGUUAUAUUUGAUCUAGCGUAUUUGAAGUAUAUAGAAAAAGAUUUGAUCUAGCGUAUUUGAAGUAUAUAGAAAAUAAAUUUUACGUUUUUUCGAUAAUUCUUUAAUGAUCGAAAGCGUUCAAAAUUAAUGGCUGAAAAUAAAGAAUGCAUAAAAAAUGAUGAUAUAAAGAUCGUAUUAAAAGUUAGGGUCAAAAUUGGAUUGGACUAUAAAUAAAUUAGUUCAUUUUUAUUUCAGGAUGGAAUGCAAAUCAAAAUUUGCUUUUUGUAAAGCAAACAAUACAUUCGAAAUAAGUGAAUGUUCAUUUUUAUUUGCUCUCUUGCAUUCUUAUUUUUGUAGCUCCCCACAAUAAAUGCAAUAUUUUCCAAAAAUAUUAGAAAAAUUAAAGAAUAUAUACACCCUCAUAAUGUGUACAUAUUAUUGUAAUGUGCAUGUCCCUGGUCAAAACUUACGUGAGGUUAGUUUUCCAAAUUAUCUAUUUAAAUUGUUGGAUCUAGCAUGUCGUCAGAAAAAAUUACGUGGAGUUAGUUUUCCAAAUUAUCUAUAUAAGAAUGUAAGAUUUAUUACCACGUAGGUGUUAAAUCUCACAUUCUGAGAUAAUUUGAUAAGGUAGUUAGAAUUUUUCUUCUCUCUACUAUUAGUGGUCCCAAACUUCUUUUAGACCUACUGCCUGGAAAAAUUAUAAGGUACACCAAAAAGUUACAAAAAAAAAAAAAAAAAAAACAAAAAAAACAAAAAAAGAAAUAAACCAAGCCUAGCCUAGAUGCUUGUUGGUUGGUACCCGAGAUUCUAAGUUCAAAAUCUAAUUACUUCACAUUUUCAAUUAAGUUUAUUUCUAAAAUUAAUAAACGAAGCACAAAACAAAAACUUUCAAUUUAUUUGGAUAAUUUAUUAAUCCUAUCCUACUUAUUUUAGAAAAAAAAGUUAUAAUAUUUAAUAAGAAAGAACCAAAAGAGUCUAAUGGAUUUAAAAAAUUAAUAAUUGGAGGAAAGGAAAUUCUAACUAGCUUAUCAAGUUGCCUCAAGAUAUGAAAUUCAAUAUGUAUGUGACGAUACCGACCGUCCCUAGCGCAAGUGGUAACAAGGCUUGAUGGUUGGGAUCUGUGACCCAAUUCGAAUCCUUGUUGAUUCACAUUUUCUAGUCAAGUUUAUUUCUAAAUGAAAUAAACGAAACGAGUAGCAUGCUAUCUUUCUCUCAAAAAAAAAAAAAAAUCUGUAUGUGACGAUAAAUUCGACAUUCUCAAAUAGAUAAUUUGAAAAACUCUCUUGUGCGCAAUUUUUGGCAAUGUCACCUAUGCAUCAAAUUGUAUGGGACCAUUUCCAUUAACUUCGCACGAGCAUUAUCUCGAAGUAGGUGUCUAGGUGAUGGAAAGUGUUUGGGGGUAAAAUGUACGGCCACACCCUCAACUACAGGCCAUUCCAAGCUUGGAUCCCAAACAUUUCCUCUUUUUUUUUCUGAUAUUUUUUUUGUUUUAAAUUUUUGAUAAAUUGAGAUGUUUUAGUGAAAUACAUUAAGAAUUUUAUCAGAUUUUCCUUGACUCCAUAAGAAUCAGAACUAAACGAUGUUUAGCAAGGUAAUAAUUCAUCUUGUUUUAUCUUAAGAACAUGGUUAUAACUUAUAAGCGGGGAUGAAGCUAGAAUACAAAAAGAAACUUUAGCAAAUAAACAAGAUUUUACCUAAUUUAAUAUUUUAAUAAAAAAAUUUAUUAAUUAAAUAAUUAAUAAAAAUAUGAACUUUAUUUUUUUUCUAUUUUCAGACGUUUAACUUCUAAUUAAUUAUUUUAUUUAUAUUAUUACAUUCAAAUAACUUAAAAAUUUUACAAAAUCUAACGGUGAUUUCUUAAUUUUUAGUAAAUAAAAUUAGCAUAGCUAUUAAAUUUGGUGUAAUCUUUUAUAUAGUUAAAUAAAAUAGCUCAACUAACAUAGUUAGAAGUUAAAAAAAUAUUAAACGAAAAUUAUAGAGCGGAGAAAUAUAUUUCAAAAUGCUCUAUGAGUAAGUGGCUCUUAAUAUAUUUUCACUUACAUAAAGAGUAUACAAAUAAGGAGAGGGAGAGUUAUACUAGCACCACGAGCUAUUAAGCAAAUAUUAAAAAGCUAGGAGAACCACGACUACCCAAAAAAGAGAGCUGAAUAAAUACCAAAAAGUAUUGAGAAAAUAUUAAGAAGUUGGGGGGAGCCAUGGCAACUUUUUUUUUGUUUUUUUUUUUUUGUUUUUUUUUUGUUUUUUUGCUUUUUUAUUUUUUUUCACCUUUCGUUGAGGCCUUGCUGCCUCACCCAUGUAGCUUAAUUCACUUACUGAAUGAAUAAAGUGGGUAACGCGCUACCUUUCUCUCAAAAAAAAAAAAAAAUGUGGGAGCCUAAGAUUUAUUUUGGUAUCAUGUUAAUCAAGAGAUUCAUAUAUUAAGAAAUAAUUUACUAAUUUAAAAUCAUUUGUCAUGCAAAGUAUAUCAAAUAAAAAUGAAAAUACAUGAUGUACGUGGAACAUAAUAUUAGACACACAUUGGGUGCAAUUCUUACACAGAUGCACUUUGCCUGUCCAUAAUGGAUGGCUCAAAUAGAACUACCGGUCUCGCGCUUGGAACUAUAGAGAAAUUGGGCCUUAAUGUCUCUCUUGAUUGAUAAACUAUUUUAUCUAGUUUCAUAUAUUAUUACAUAAGCUAUUUUAUCUAGUUACAUAUAUUAUUAGGAAAUAGAUCCAAUUUCAUUUGUUCCUUCUGUUUUAAAUAAAAUAGAUAUCAAUCACUAGGCGAAGCCUAAAUAUGAUAUUCUCUAGCUACUUAGAUCUUAAACAUCAUUAAGGUCCUAUUUAAAUGUCGGAAUAAGUUAUUCCAAAAUAGCUUAUUAGGUAUAAGAAAUUUCUAGUGUGAUUAUAAGAAAGAAGCUUUUUUUUUUUUUUUUUCUUGAAAGACUUUGAUAUCCAUAAUUUGAUAGAAUAACAUAUUUAUUUACGAGUGAUUUGUCUUAUUCGAAAAAUGGCGUAAAGGGUGAAUUUAUACUCAUUUAUUAAUAUUUGAUCACACACCUCAUGUGUUAAUAUGUUUUAACUUUUCAUACAAAAUUAAAAAGAUAUACCGAAUACGAUAUUUAUACAUUCAAAUCGGGUUGAAGUUAUAUAUGACGGUAUCAAUCCAACUCGGAUUAAACUUAAACUAAACCAAUUCAUUCAAAAAAAAAAAAAAAAACCAAACCACACCAAUUAAAACCUGUCUUAUUGGAGAACCGCCAAAGAGGAUGGAGCGGGGCCAAGUCUCUCAUGGUGCUACUACUAUAUAUGUGGGCUAAGAGCCAGGUCGAUCCGUAUAGAAUUUUUUUUUCACAAAAUUAUUUUUAUAUAGAAUAAAGGUUUUUUAAUAAAUAUUUUUUAUUUAUGGUAAAUAUCAAUGACCAUUUUUAUAUACAUUUUUUAUAUUUAUUCUUCAUUAUACAUUGGCUUCAUAGUACUAGCUAUCGUCUAACACAAACACUUAUUUCUAGAAUACGCGCAUACACAAUUGCCUUGCAUAAGGAGACAAAUGUUCGAUCCAUUUUGUAAUACUAAUAAGAAACAGUACUAGAUCACAGUAAUUAAGGAGCACACUCUCUAUUGUAGAUCUUUAAACUAGCUUACAUACUCACUGAACACACCGAAACAUAACAGAAAUUAACCACAAGGUCGAAGCAAGCAGCUGAACAAAUGGAUGCGUACAUGCAUCCUUAUUUAUAACUAAGCAAAUAUGAUAGCAAACUGCAUGCAGUGCGUUGCUAAUCAUCACUGCCGACCUACACUGAGCUUCGACUUUCAAAAACAAUCUAAAUGACUUCGACACUGGGCCCUGAUUGUAGAGUGGGAUAGAGAGGGUCCAUGGCGAUUCCACAUAAUCCAAAUGACGAUGACACAUCUCUUGCCAAGCGGAUGUAUCCACCCUCACCCCAUCCGGCACCCCAUGAGUUCCUUACUAUCCAAAAUUUUUUUCCGCUGCUAUCCUGCCCGUAACCUAUAAUGACGAUGGCAUGAUUGAGUCUAGUUCCACAAGGUCCGGUAAACACACCGCGCUUGUAAUGUUGAAAGUUUCCACUGGCAUCGAGAGCAGCAGCUAUUGGUUGAUUCGACACAGCGUACAUCAUGUUGCGUUCGUUGUUCCUCUGCACAUAUGUAUAGCGAGUAAUAUAAGCUGAAUUGGGCACGCCAUUGGUCUUGCAGGUACCUUUGGCUGCUUUGUAAGGGUAGAUAGCUGCGGAUGCCACGCCCUUGUUGGAUAUGAUGAAACUGUAGGCCUUGUUUAUCCAGCCGCCUUUGCACCCGUAGCUUACAGCACAAUCGAGAACUUGCUGCUCCGAUAAAGAUACUAAGUUCCCUCUUUUGAUCUUGUAGAUUGAUUCUACCGUCGCAAUUGAAGCGAAUGCCCAGCAAGAACCUGUGCCGAAACAAAGAUUAAAUCGUGUUAGCAUAACAAGUGUAAGCAAAGUUACAUAUAUAUGUAGGUUGCCAUGAUAAAAGAAAGCAUUCAAACCAAUUACCUAAUUAGAUGAUACUUGCAAGUACUUAGCUGCUUUUAACUUGUUUUCAAUACUUGUCAUGCAUAGGGGAUGUCCCGUUCUUUUUGACUAAAACGUAUUUUGCUUACUUUAAUAAUAUAAUUAUUGUAAUAACUUAAUUAACAAUAAGAAAUUCAAUAAUAGACCUAACAUCCAGAUGAGUUGAAUCAAGUCGAAAUCUAUAAAUGUUAUGGUUAAGUCUUUAAGUGUGUUGGAUACAUUCUUUUUAUCGCCACUUUUUCUGUAAUAGUUGAUUAUCACUUACCAUCCACAUUCGAUAGCUAGGAUGAUUUUUUAUUAACUAGAUUCAAUAUUUCGACAAUUUCCUUGUAUGAAGACUGAUAAUGUGUCCUAAUGAAUGUUUAGACACUUUUAAUUUGAUCGGCCAAAAUAAUGGACUUGUUGGGUUUUAGUGGGUGGAAAUUUGGUCCUUUAGUCCAAAAACGGCAGAAGGCAUAUUUGGUGAGAUUUGAUCUAAACAACAUGUUUAAAGUUAACUAAAAGAAUAGGUAUUUGUUCCUAGCUGAAAAAAUGAAGUUGCUUUGACAAUUUAUAGUCCACAUUAAUCCUUACCACAGCGGCCUUGGUUCUUGACACUUGUUACGGCACCAGAGUCUCUCCAAUCAAUACUUUGAGGCACCGAGGAGAUGUCUACGUCAUCAAACGACACCACUGGCUCUCUCUUGAUAUUUAGUGGGAGAGAUAAACCAGUAUAUUGAGCAACAAAUUCGUUAUUUGUCAUAUCGGUAAAUUGAUUGAUACCGAGAGUGUACGAAUUUCCGUUGCGAUUGUUAAAGGUUUCGAUAUGGUUCACGUUGUUCUUGAAUAUCUGAAACCGGAGCAUCUUCUCGUCGUUGUCCUUGUAAACUCGGCCGUACUCCGCCAUCCAUUCUUCAAACUGCUUCAUCAUGGGAUCACUGGGUUCGUCACAAGAAGCUGCCGAUGGCGAAGCCCACAUCACACAGAGAAACAAGAAAAGAAACACGAGUUGAACUUUGGAAGUCAUGCUUAUGUAGCACUAAAUAUCUACUUUUAUGUAUGAGGAAAUUGGAGAUCGAGCUUCAAGAGCUUUUGUUGCUGAGAGUAUGGCCUCAAGAUCGAGUUUAUAUAGAAGUUGGAGUAUUAAUAGGUGGAGGCCUACAAGAUGGCAUAAAUCACCAUCAAAUUAAAAUUAAAUAGAUCUUGACCGCUUAUGACACCGCGUCAUUUGGUCACGCGCUAAUCAUGAAAAAGAUAAUAAUGUUUCUCUACUUCUCUCACAUUUUAACUUUAUAAUUUCUUUCAUAGGGCAUAAAAUGACUAAUUAAAUAGAUCUUGAACCCUCCUCGCCAUAAGAUCAUCUUAGGUGCAAGCAAAAAGGAAUGUACAUUUCUCCAUUUCUAUCUUUUCACUCUCUAACUUUAAUCUUUCAUGCAUAGGCUAUAUAUAUUCGUUCUUCUUGUUUCUUUUUCCGUUGCAUGAGCAGGACCAACCCUAGAAAUAAAAACCUGAUCUGUAGUUUAGUCAAAUAUUGCUUUAAAACUCGAUCGAUCUGUAAUUUGAAAAGUAGCCAACUUUGAAACAGCAUAUAUAUAGUUGCAGCUCAAGCGGAAAAUAAACCAACUAAAAGCUAAGGUUCCCUUUAGAAUUGCAGCCACAUUACAUUGCGUACGGUAAGAAAUUAAAAAUAUAAAAAUAUUUUAUUUAUUUUCAUUAGUGAUUUUUAAAAUAUAAAUAUUAAAAAUAUUAUUUUCUAUACUAUAAACUUUAAGAUUAAUGAUUAUUUCACAUCCUUCUACUCUAUAUCAAUUGAAGGACUUGUGGCUUUAAGUUCUGCCCAUUUAAAAAUAUUCAAUAUUUUUAUAUAUAGGAACCCGGCGUCUCCCAAACUAAGUAUUACCUAUUCUAAUACUAUGCGAAAUAACAUGACACAGCGGUUGUUCUCCAAAAACUUAAAGAUGCCUCAGAGGAUAAGGCACUAAGUUUGAAUCUUAUCGGGCAAUAAUUUCAUCCAAUUUCUUUUAAUUUAAUUUAAUUUAAUUCAAGUUCACAUUUUAAGUCUACUGAAAUUUCUCGAACCUAAACAUGAGGUAGAGUGUUAAUUUUAUAUAUAUAUAUAUAUAUAUAUAUAUUGUUAAGAUUUCGUUAGAUUUAUAGAUUAAAUUCUAGUUGGAUAAAAAUUAAUAUUUAAAUUUGUUGGAGAUAAAUUAAAAUUUAAAUAUUAUUUAGAGUAUGAAUCUAACUAGAGUAGGAUAAAUAUUUAAAUCUAUUGGAGAUAAAUCAAUUAAGAUUUAAAUAUUUAUUGGAGUAGAAAAAUAAAUAUACUAGAAUUCGGGUACGCUUUGAUAUAAGCUUUAUAAAUAAAUUCAUCAUACUUACUCGAUCCCAAUUCAUUCGUUUUCCUUAUAAAAAAAAUAUUCUACAAUGUCAUUCUCUCAACGAUGUCUGAGUGCAAAUUAAACAUGUAUUAAACCAAAAAUCAAAUCACGGAUUAUAAUUUUUUAAUGCAUAAAUCUUUUAAACUUUAUAAAAUUAUAUCAAAUUAAUUAAAUUUUAAUUAAUUUUAAAAUUUUUUAGGGGAAAAGAUGCUUAGUUAUCUGUUUUGUACAUUUUGAGAAUUUCUUUUGGCACCGACCGUCACUAGCGCAAGUGGUACAGGGUUUGGUGGUUGGUAUUGGAGGUCCCAAAUUCGAGUUAAGUUUAUUUCUAAAUGAAAUAAACGAAGCGGGUAACAUACUAUCUAUCUUUUAACAAAAGGGGAAACUUCAAAUACCCGCCUGUGGUUUCGUACUUUCUCACUUUAGUACCCUGUGGUUUAAAGUGUAUCAAGUUGGUACCUAGCUGUGGUUUCGUAUUUUUUCACUUUCGUACUCUGUGAUUUCAAGUGUAUCAAGUUAUUAUCCUAUGGUUUCGCACUUUCUCACUUUAGUACCAUGUGAUUUAAUAUUUUGUUAAAUUAUAUGCCUCGAAAUGAAUAAUAAAAACAGAAAAUUGAAACCACAGGGUACUAACUUGAUACAAAAAUAAAACCACAAGGUAAUAACUUAAUACAGUUGAAACCAUAUAGUACUAAAGUGAGAAAGCGCGAAACCACAUGGUACUAACUUGAUAUAUUUUAAAUCACAAGCUACUAAAGUGAGAACGCAUGAACCCAAUGGGGGUAUUUGAAGUUUCACCUAAAAAAAGAAUUUCUUUUGGCAAAGCCUACGAGAUGUAGACCCAUGCAAUGUGUACGUGUGCAAACGUUAAUUUCUCUCUUAUCAAUCGUUAGUAAAGUUGCGAGGGGAACAACUUUUAUUGCAGCUGAUGUGUUGUUAUUGGAAUUAUCGGAGCAUGUGUUGCCCAACGGGAAUAGGGCUGAUAAGAGACGUGCAUGAAUUAAAAAAGUUAUAUUUAAUUUUUUUAAAAAAAUAUUGUUCAGAAUAGUUGUUUAGCAUUAUGAAAGAAUUUUUUUUAAAAAAAGUAUCAAUGCCACGCUUAUGUAUUAAAAUGCCCUCAUAAAAUGAUAAUAUCAUUCAUGCUCUUUUAAAUGGUCAUAAAUCUUAUAGUAAUUAGCUCUAGUGAUUAAUUAGUCUCUACCGAAAAAUCUCGUCAUUAAUUAUUAUAAAAUAUUUAUUUUUUUACCAUUACGUACUAUUAGUAUAAUAACUCGUGCGAUGUGAUAAAUAGAUAGUUAAAGAAAAAAUAAAAAAUGGCCACAAAAAAGAGUAAAUAACAAUGGAAGACACUACAACAGAAUUAGGUUAUAGAAACACAUGUUUGGAACACUUUUGAGUAAGUAUCCCAUUUAUACUAAAAUUUAAAAAAAUAUCUACUAAUGCCUAAAUAUAAAGCCCAAUCCAACCAAAAAUAAAAGAUUACUUUACUCAACCCACCACACCCAGUCCAUUUGGCCUGAUUACAAACAGAAAAAAAAAAGAAAAAUUAAUUACCAUAUUUUCUUCUCGCUUUACUCAAUCCACUGAAAUUCUAGACGAAGAGCCAUUCCUGUCGUCCUCCUCCGCCACCGCAGCCAACGAGAUAGAGUUUCGGCGGUUGCGAAAUGCUUAAAUAAGUUGUUGGUAAAUUAGCAGCACUCUUUUAGGUUAUAGCGACACUCUUUAACUGUCACUAUAUAUCUAGCGAACCCACAUAUAGCAACACUUUUUAAAAGUGUCGGUAAUUUUAGCUAGCAUCACUUUUUUGACAUGUACCUACAUUUAAAAGUGUCGUUAUAGACCGUUUUUAUUGUAGUGAGAACUGACGAUGAGAGAAGAGAUUUAUCCUGCCGAUGAACGAAAAUAACAGUUGAAGUGACAAAGGGCUUGGUGGUUGGUACUCGAGACCCAAGUUCGAAUCCUAGUUGAUUCACAUUUUCAGCUAAGUUUAUUUUUAAAUGAAAUAAACGAAGCGGGUAGUGUGCUACCUAUCUCUCAAAAAAAAAAAAAAAAAUAGCAGUUGAAGAAAGAGGAAAUGAAAUAGUUGGUCUAAUGCAGAGGCGUGAUCUAGUUUGGUUCAAGGAAAAGAAAAAUCCGAUUCAGUUCAAACAAAAAAAAGAAAAAACUUGAGACAGUUUGGGAUAAAGCCUACACUCAAUAGUGAUCGAUUUAGUUCAAGUAUAAAAACAGAAAAAAAAAAAAAUUUGGUUCAAAGCUGCAAACAUGUGGAGCAGUGGGGCUAGUUUAGCCCAAUGCAACAGGUUGAUUUGAUUCGUUUCAAGCAAAGAAAGAAAGAAAUCAGGUUCAUUCCACGUGAAAAAGGAGAAAACUUAAGCGUAUUUUCAAAAUUUAUUAGAACUAAAAUUAGGAUAACGCUAUUUGACAUAAGAUAAUAUGAGAAAUAUUUAUGAUAUUUUUAGAAGUAUUUGUGAUAGUUUAAGAUUUUGAGGAGUAGCUAUGAAGUUGUCCCUAAAAAAAUCUGCAGUUCGAUCUCUCACAACCUCGUUUCAAAAUUUGGAAGAUCAAUCUCCUUGACUUUCGAAUUUUAUGUAGUACAAUUUUUAGACGUUGUUCUUAAGGUAAGAAAUUUAUAAGCAACUUUAAAGGUUUUAGUCAAAUAUAUUCACUACAAAAAAAACGGUCUAUAGUGACACUUUUAAAUAUAGGUACAUGUCAAAAAAGUGUUGGUAGCAAAAAUUACCGACACAUUUAAAAAGUGUUGCUAUAUGUGGGGUAGCUAGGUAUAUAGUAACAGUUAAAGAGUGUCGCUAUAAUCUAAAAGAGUGCUGCUAAUUUACCAACACUUAUUUAAGCAUUUAGCAACCGCCGAAACUCUAUCUCGUUAGCUGCGGUGGCGGAGGAGGACGACAGGAAAGGCUCUUCGUAUAGAAUUUCAGUGGAUUAAGUGAAGAGAGAAGAAAAGAUGGUAAUUGAUUUUUUUUUUUUCUUUUCUGUUUGUAAUCGGGCCAAAUGAACUGGGUGUGGUGGGUUAAGUAGAGUAAUCUUUUAUUUUUGGUUGGAUUGGCCUUUAUAUAUAGGCAUUAGUAGAUGUUUUUUUAAAUUUUAGGAUAAAUGAGAUACUUACUCAAAAGUGUCCCAAACAUGUGUCCCUAUAACCUAAUUCUGUUGUAGUGUAUAUAUUAAGAAUUUUAUCAGAUUUUCCGUGAUUUCAUCAAAUUUAAAAGUUUUGACCAUUUCUAGCAAUUGAAGCUUGAAUAAUUUACAACUAACUAGAAUUGCCCAAAUUAAACAAAUUUAGAAGAUAAAAAGAUGGUAAGAGUGGAGGAGUCGAUUUCAAAGGAGCCUAUGAUUGAGCACGUCUUCGUACACUUCUAUCAAUUAUCUGCUCACGUAUGCAGCAGCCAGAGCUAAACUAUGUUUAUCGAUCAGGGCAAUAAUUCGCCUUUUUUUUUUAAUGAUCUUAAGAACAUGGUUAUAAGCUUUAAUUAAAAUUAUAGAGCUUGACAACAAGUUGAACAAGUUUAUGACAAAAAUAAAUAUAUAUUAUAAGCACAGUCCCACAAAAUUGUGGGAGCAUAAGAUUUAGUUGGUAUCAUAUUAUACGAACGAACCAUAUAUCAUCGCUCAUGCAUUUUGACCGUUCAUAUUGGAUGGUCCAAAUAGAACGAUCGGUCUUGAUUGAUAAGGUAUAUAUAUUUUUUAAUGAUCUUAGGAAAUAAAUCCAAUUUCAUUUGUUCCCUUUGUUUUUAAUAAAAUAGGAAUCAUUCACUAGGCUCAGCCUAAAUCUAAUAUUCAUUGUAGAGGUGGCAAUCCAGCUUUGCUGCUCGCGAGUUAGUUCAUGUUCGGCUCGAAAUGAACUCGAAAUCGAAUCGCUCGUUUAGUAAACGAGUCGAACACGAGCUGAAGUUUUCAGCUCGUUUAAUAAACGAGCCAAACACAAGCCGGCGUCAGCUCGCUUAUUUUCGGCUCAAUAACAGCUCAAAUAUAUAUAUAUUUUAUAUUUAUAUAAUCUAUUUAAUUUAUAUUUAUAUAUUUAUAUAUAUAAAUAAAUAAUUAUGUAAUAUAUAUAUAUAUAAAAUUUAAUUUUUAGAAAAAAAAAUAUAAAGUCGAGCUCAAUUAAAAAAAAACUCAUUUAUAUAUAAAGUUUCAACCAUUAAAUCAAAAUCUAAUGAAUAAAAUUUUAUAAAUUUAUUUUUUAUAUAUAUUCAAUCUAAUUAAUUUAAUUUAUUGUUCAUUGGCCAACUCGUGUUCGGCUCAUUUAUUAAUAAAUCGAACACAAGUUGAAUUUUUCAGCUUGAUACUUUAACAAGUCAAUUCGUGUUCGGCUCGUUUAUUAAACGAGUCGAAUACGUGCCGGCCCUAGCUUACUCGUGUUCGGCUCCUUAACACCCCUAAUUCUUAGCUACUUAGAUCUUAGACAUCAUGAAGGUGCAGUCGGAAUAUCCAAAUAAGUUAUUCAAAGAGAAGAAUUUCUAGGGUGAAAGAAGUUUAUUUUUUCUCCUAGGAAAGAAUUUGAUAUCCAUAGUUAGAUACCAUAAUAUAUUUUAUCAAAUUUUAGAUUUUUGAUCACACUGCUCAUCUAUUAAUAUUAUGUAUAAAUUUUUUAAAUAAUAUUUAUAAAAUAUAUCAAUUAAGAUAUUCAUGCAUCCAAAUAGGGCCGAAGUUAUGACGGUACCAAUCCAACUUGGAUUAAGCCAAAUUCAUUCAUCGAAACCAAACCAUACCUAACAAAACGUCCUUUAUUAGAUAACAGCCAAAGAGGAUGGACCUGGACCAUGUCUCGUGGGCCUACUACUAUGUAGGCGGAGAACAAUGUCGGUCCACGAGAACACCUAAUAUUUUUUAAAAAAAUUUUAUUUUAAUAGAAUAUUUUUUUAAAAAAAAUAUAAUUUAUUUAUGUAUAAUGAAUGACUAAUUAUUGUAAUAGAAUAAAAUUUUCUCUUUAUUGUAAUAUUUUUUAAAAAAAAGAUUUGUUACCAAUCGUUCCUAAAGUAAAUGGCAAAGGGUUUGGUGGUUGGUAUACGAGACCCAAGUUUGAAUCCUAGUUGAUUCACAUUUCCAACUAAGCUUAUUUUAAAAUGAAAUAAAUGAAGUGGGUAGCGUGCUACCUAUCUCUCUCUUAANUGAUCUAGUACUGUUUCUUAUUAGUAUUACAAAAUGGAUCGAACAUUUGUCUCCUUAUGCAAGGCAAUUGUGUAUGCGCAAAAAAAAAAAAAAAAAUUGUUUUUCAUUAACAGAAACAUACUAGAUCACAGUAAUUAAGGAGCACACUCUCUAUUGUAGAUCUUCAAACUAGCUUACAUACUCACUGAACACACAGAAACAUAACAGAAACUUACCACAAUUAAUGUCGAAGCAAGCAGCUGAACAAUUGGAUGCGUACAUGCAUCCUUAUUUAUAACUAAGCAAAUAAGAUAGCAAACUGCAUGCAGUGAUCACUUCCGAUCGACCUACACUGAGCUUCGACUUUCAGAAACCAUUUUAAUGACUUCGACAUUGGCCCCUGAUUGUAGAGUGGGAUAGAGGGGACGUAUGGCGAUUCCACAUAAUCCAGAUGACGAUGACACAUCUCUUGCCAUACGGAUGUAUCCACGCUCACCCCAUGAGGCACCCCAUGAGUUCCUUACUAUCCAAAAUUUUUUUCCGCUGCUAUCCUGCCCGUAACCUAUAAUGGUGAUGGCAUGAUUGAGACUAGUUCCACAAGGUCCGCUAAACACACCGCGCUUGUAAUGUUGAAAGUCUCCACUGGCUUCAAUACUAGCAGCUAUUGGUUGAUUCGACACAGCGUACAUCAUGCUGCGUUCGUUGUUACUCUGCACACGUGUAUAACCAGUAAUAUAAGCUGAAUUGGGCACGCCAUUGAUCCUGCAGGUGCCUUGGGAUGCUUUGUAAGGGUAGAUAGCUGCGGAUGCCACGCCCUUGUUAGAUAUGAUGAAAUCGUAGGCCUUGUUCACCCAGCCGCCAUCGCACCCGUAGCUUACAGCACAAUCGAGAACUUGCUGCUCCGAUAAAGAUAUUAAGUAUCCUCUUUUGAUCUUGUAGAUUGAUUCUACCGUCGCAAUUGCAGCGAAUGCCCAGCAAGAACCUGUGCCGAAACAAAGAUUAAAUCGUGUUAGCAUAACUAGUGUAAGCAAAGUUACAUAUAUAUGUAGGUUGCCAUGAUAAAAGAAAACAUUCAAACUAACCCAAUUAGAUGUUAUUUGCAAGUACUGAGCUGCUUUUAACUUGUUUUCAAUAGUUGUCAUGCAUAGGGAUGUCUCGUUCUUUUUGACUAACAUGUACGUAUUUUGCUUACUUUAAUAAUAUAAUUAUUGUACUAACUUAAUUAACAAUAAGAAAUUCAAUAAUAUACCUAACGUCCAGAUGAGUUGAAUCAAGUCGAAAUCUAUGAAUGUUAUGGUUAAGUCUUUAAGUGUGUUGGAUACAUUCUUUUUAUCACCACGUAUUUAUGUAAUAGUUGAUUAUCACUUAUGAUCGAUCCUCAUUCGAUAACUAGGAUGAUUUUUUAUUCACUAGAUUCAAUACUUUGAUAAUUUCCUUGUAUGAAGACUGAUAAUAUGUCCUAAUGAAUGUUUAGACACUUUUGAUCGGCCAAAAUAAUGGACUUGUUGGGUUUUAGUGGGUGGAAAUUUGGUCCUUUAUAAAGGACCAAAUUAUAUUAUUUGAUGAGAUUUGAUGAGAUUAUAUUAUUUAGUCCAAAAACGGCAGAAGGCAUAUUUGAUGAGAUUUGAUCUAAAAUACAUAUUUAAAGUUAACUAAAAGAAUAGGUAUUUGUUCCUAGUUGAACAAAUGAAGUUGCAUUGACAAUUUAUAGUCUAAAUUAUUUCUUACCACAGGGGUUUUGGUUCUUGACACUUGUUACGGCACCGUAGUUUCUCCAAUCAAUACUUUGAGGCACCGCGGAGAUGUCUACGUCAUCAAACGACACCACUGGCUCUCUCUCGAUAUUUAAUGGGAGAGAUACUCCAGUAUAUUGAGCAACAAAUUCGUUAUUUGUCAUAUCGGUAAACUGAUUGAUACCGAGAGUGUAAGAAUUUCCGUUGCGACUGUUAAAGGUUUCGAUAUGGUUCACGUUGUUCUUGAAUAUCUGAAACCGGCGCAUCUUCUCGUCGUUGUCCUUGUAAACUCGGCCGUACUCCGCCAUCCAUUCUUCAAACCGCUUCAUCAUGGGAUCACUGGGUUCGUCACGAGAAGCUGCCGAUGGCGAAGCCCACAUCACACAGAGAAACAAGAAAAGAAACACGAGUUGAACUUUGGAAGCCAUGCUUAUGUAGCACUAAAUAUCUAGUAUAUGUAUGAGGAAAUUGGAGAGUCUGGUCUCAAGAUUGAGUUUAUAUAGAAGUUGGAAUAUUAAUGGGUGGAGGCCUACAAGAUGGCAUAAUUAAAUCUCCAUCAAAUUAAGAUUAAAUAGAUCUGGACCACUUGUGACACCGCGUCAUGUGGCCAUGGUCACGUGCUAAUCAUGAAAAAAAUGAUGUUUCUCUACUUCUCUCACAUUUUAACUUUAUAAUUUCUUUCAUAGGAUAUAGAAUGACUAACUAAUUAAAUAGAUCUGGAACCCUCCUCGCCAUAAGAUCAUCUUAGGUGCAAGCAAAAGGAACGUACGUACGUUUCUCCAUUUCUAUCUUUUCACUCUCUAAAUUUAAUCUUUCAUGCAUAGGCUGUAUAUAUUCGUUCUUCUUGUUUAUUUUUCCAUUGCAUGAGCAAUACCAACCCUAGAAAUAAAAACUUGAUCUGUAGUUUAGUCAAAUAUUACUUUAAAACUCGAUCUGUAAUUUGAAAAGUAGCCAACUUUGAAACAGCAUAUAUAUAGUUGCAGCUCAAGCGGAAAAUAAACCAACUCAAAGCUAAGGUUCCCUUUAGAAUUGCAGCCACAUUACAUUACGUACGGUAAGAAAUUAAAAAUAUAAAAAUAUUUUAUUUAUUUUUAUUAGUGAAUUUUAAAAUAUAAAUAUUAAAAAUACUAUUUUCCAUACUAUAAACUUUAAGAUUAAUGGUUAUUUCACAUCCUUUUACUCCAUAUCAAUUGAAAUAAGGACUUAUAUAUGGCUUUAAGUUCUGCCCAUUUAAAAAUAUUCAAUAAUUUUAUAUAUAGGAACCCCGCAUCUCCCAAACUAGGGAUUACCAGUUCUAAUACUACGCGAAAUAAUAUGACGUAACUGUUGUUCUUCAAAAACUUAAAGAUGGCUCAGAGGAUGAGGCGCUAAGUUUGAAUCUUAUCGUGCAAUAGGUUAAUCCAAUUUCUUUUUAUGUAAGUUAAUUUAACUCAAGUUCAUAUUUUAAGUCUAUUAAAACUUCUCGAGCCUAAACAUGAGGUAGAGUGUUAAUUUUAUAUAUAUAUAUUAAACAGACCUUUCUUUAAUAACUUAAGUUUCUAUAGAUAAAUAAUUGUUUCACAUUCUUUCAUAGAUUUAACUUUUUUCAUAUUAUAAUAAAUUUAUUAUAAUAUAAUUCCUAUGCUUUCAUUAGAAAAUAAUGAAGUAUAUAUCUUUAUAUGAUUUAACUCCAACCAAGUUACAUCUACUAGCAUGCUUCAAUGCCCAAAUGGGUGCUAAGUUACAAGACAAUCCAAAAUAAGGAAAGCCCAAGUUCUAAGUCGGCACUAAAGUUAAUUUACUGAGUAAAAUUCAAUUUACCCACACCACCACCCCCUGUAAUUUAGUGGAGUUUUACUUUGUUCUUAUGUAGUUUAAAGGUUGCAUGUAACUAUCGUGUGAUUUUUUAUUUUUAUUUUAUCUAUAAAACUUGACAUCAAUUAGCAAAGUGAAUUUUUUGUUCUGUUUAACAGUAAGUCUUUACAAGAAAAUAAAAAUUAAUAUUAUACGAUAGUUAAGUAUAACUUUUCAAACCGCAUAAUAACAAAGUGAAAAAAUAUUAAACAGCAGUAAGAAAAAUUAAAAAUUACCUAAUUAAAUUAAUCAUACUUACUCGAUCCCGAUUCAUUCGUUUUCCUUCAAAGAUUCUACAAUCUCAUUCUCUCAACGAUAUUUGAGUGCAAAUUAAAUAUGUAUUAAACCAAAAAUCAAAUCACGGAUUUUAAUUUUUUAAUGCAUAAAUCUUUUAAACUUUAUAAAAUUAUAUCAAAUUAAUUAAAUUUUUUAAUUAAUUUUAAAAUUUUUUAGGGGAAAAGAUACUUAGUUAUCCGUUUUGUUCAUUUUGAGAAUUUCUUUUGACACCGACUAUUUCUAACGCAAGUGGUAAAGAAUUUAGUAGUUGAUAUUCGAGAUUCAAAAUUUAAACUUAAUUUAUUUCUAAAUAAAAUAAACGAAGUGGUACCUAUCUACGAGAUGUAGACCCAAUGCGUACAUCCGCAUACGUUAUUUUCUCUCUUAUCAAUCGUUAGUAAAGUCGCAAUCGAGAGGGGGACAACUUUUAUUGCAGCUGAUGUGUUGUUAUUGGAAUUAUCGGAGCAUGUGUUGCACAACGGGAAUAUAAAGGACUGAUAAGAGACGUGCAUGAAUUAAAAAACAGUUACUGACGAUGGAAGAAGUGACAAAAAACAAAAAGAGAUUUAUCCUGCCGACAAAAAAAAGAGUAAAUGAUAAUGAAAGAAGUGGCGAUGAGGAAAGAGAUUUAUCCUACUGAUGAACGAAGAUAAUAAUUAAAAAAAGAGAAAAAGGAAUAGUUCCGCUUAAUGCAGAGGUGUGAUCCAGUUUGGUUCAAGCAAAAAAAAAAAAAAAUCGGUUCGAUUCAAGCAAAGAAAAAGAAACACUUGAGACGGUUUUGGGUAAAGCUUAUACUCGAUAGUGAUAGAUUCAGUUCAAGUAUAAAAAGAGAAAAUAUUUAGUUUAAAGAUGAAAACAUGUGGAGCAGUUGGGUUGGUUCAGUCCAAUGCAACAGGUUGAUUUGAUUCGCUUCAAGUAAAGAAAAAGAGAAAUCAGGUUCAUUCCACGUAAAGAAAGAGAAAAAUAUGUGAAAAACUUAAGUCUGUUCGGAAGAGUUUACAUUCAAUAAUUAUUGAUUCGAUUUAAGUAAAGAAUAAGGAAAAUUCGAUUUGAUUCAAGCAAAAAGGAAAAAAAAAAAUUAUGCGAAAAACUUGAACGGAUUCUGAAUGAAGCUCUGAAUGAAGCUCACACUUAAUAAUGAAAGGAGCGUUAUCAUGUGGCAAAACUAGAAGGAAUAGAUAGAUAUCACUAAUGUCGCUUAAAUUAUCUAUAGCUAAUAUUCAAAGUUUUCUACAUCAUUAAUGUUGCUUAAAUGGUAUUCAAAAUUUUCUAUAGCGUAUGUUCAAAAUUUAUUAGAACUAAGAUUAGGAUAACGCUAUUUGACAUAAGAUAACAUGAGAAAUAUUUAUAAUAUCUUUAGAAGUGUUUGUGAUAGUUUAAGAUUUUGAGGAGUAGCUAUGAAGUUGUCCCUAAAAAAAUCUGUAGUUCGAGCUUUCACAACCUCGUUUCAAAAUUCGGAAGAUCAAUCUCCUCGACUUUCGACUUUUAUGUAGUACAAUUAAUUUUUAGACGUUGUUCUUAAGGUAAGAUAUUUAUAAGCAACUUUAAAGGAGAAAAAGUUAUAUACUAACAGGGAUCGCAUUUAAUUCGGAAAUUUGAAUGUGAGUUUUUACUUUUUAACCGUCCAGAUUUCACACUUUGAUAAAUAAUACGACUUGAAUACUCAUAAAAGACGAUAGCAUGCCCUUACCCACUUUUCUUAUGCACAAGACAUAAACUAUAAUGUAUGUUGGUGCAAGCAAAAUUUAUUUUAUUUGAGAUUUGAAUUCAUUUUAUUAACCCUUCGACUCAGUUUGUUCUACUUACAGUACGGCGUUGGACCACAACAUACAUAUCGAUUAUUCAGAUACGACUUUAUUAAAUUGCAUUAAAGGCCUCUAAAGUUAAAAAUUUAGUUUGGGGACCAUUUGCUUUAAUUUCGCUCGGGCAUCAUCUGAAAUAGGCCAUGCCAAAUUAGGCCCCGCCCUCAACUACAGGCCACGCCCUCAUCUACAGGACAUUCCAAACUAGGUCCCCCAACAUUUCUUUUUCUGUUUUUUUUUAAAAGUUUAUUUUUGUUUUAAAUUUUUUGAUAAAUUAAGAUGUUUUAGUCAAAUAUAUUAAGAAUUUUAUCAAAUUUUUCGUGAUUUCAUCAAAUUUAAAAGUUUUGACCAUUUCUAACAAUUGAAGCUUGAAUAAUUUACAACUAAUUAGAAUUGCCCAAAUUAAACAAAUUUAGAAGAUAAAAAGAUGUUAAGAGUUGAGGAGUCGAUUUCAAAGGAGCCUAUGAUUGAGCAUGCCUUCGUACACUUCUAUCAAUUAUCUGCUCACAGCCAGAGCUAAACUAUGUUUAUCAGGGCAAUAAUCCGCCCUUUUUUUUAAUGAUCUUAAGAACAUGGUUAUAAGCUUUAAUUAAAAUUAUAAAAAAUAAAUAAAUAUUAUAAGCACAGUCCCACAAAAUUGUGGCAGCAUAAGAUUUAGUUGGUAUCAUAUUACACGAACGAGCCAUAUUUCAUGCGGAAUAUAUUAAACAAAAAUGAAAAUACAUGACGUGCAACAUAAUAUUUGACGCAUAUCGGGAGCAAUUCUAUGCACAUAUGCAUUUUGACCGUUCAUAUUGGAUGGUCCAAAUAGAACGAUCGGUCUUGGUUGAUAAGGUAUAUAUUUUAUCCAGUUACAUAUAUUAUUAGGAAAUAAAUCCAAUUUCAUUUGUUCCCUAUGUUUUUAAUAAAAUAGGAAUCAUUCACUAGGCUCAGCCUAAAUCUAAUAUUCAUAGUAGGGGUGGCAAUCCAGCUUUGUUGUUCGUAAACUAGCUCGUGUUCGGCUCGAAAUGAGCUCGAGAUCGAAUUGCUCGUUUAGUAAACAAGCCGAACACGAGCUGAAUUUUUCAGCUCGUUUAAUAAAUGAGCCGAACACGAACCGGCGUCAGCUCGCUAGUGUUCGACUCAAUAACAGCUCAAAUACAUAUAUUUUAUAUUUAUAUAAUCUAUUUAAUUUAUAUUUAUAUAUUUAUAUAUAUAAAUAAAUAAUUAUAUAACAUAUAUAUAUAUAUAUAUAUAUAUAUAUAUAUAUAUUAUUUAAUAUUUAGAAAAAAAAAAUAAAGUCGAGCUCAAUUAAAAAAAGAUGCAUUUAUAUAUAAAGUUUCAACCAUUAAAUCAAAAUCUAAUGGAUAAAAUUUUAUAAAUUUAUUGUUUAUAUAUAUUCAAUCUAAUCUAUUUAAUUUAUUGUUCAUUGGUCAGCUUGUGUUCGGCUCAUUUAUUAAUAAACCGAACACAAGCUGACUUUUUUGGCUUGAUACUUUAACAAGGCAACUCGUGUUCAGCUCGUUUAUUAAACGAGCCGAAUGCGAGCCAGCCCAGCUUACUCGUGUUCGGCUCCUUAACACCUCUAAUUCAUAGCUACUUCGAUCUUAGACAUCAUGAAGGUGCAGUCUGAAUAUCAAAAUAAGUUAUUCAAAAAGAAGAAUUUCUAGGAUUAUUAUAAGAAAGAAGUUUAAUUUUUUCUUCUAGAAAAAAAAAAAAUUGAUAUCCAUAGUUAGAUAGCAUAAUAUAUUUUAUUUACGAGAUAGUUUAUCUUAUCCAGAAAAUGAUUUCACAGAUUACAUUAGUAUACAAUUUGAAAAUUUUUAUCACACUGCUCAUCUACUAAUAUUAUGUAUAAAUUUUUCAAAUAAUAUUUAUAAAAUAUAUCAAAUAAAAUAUCCAUAUAUCCAAAUAGAGCCAAAGUUAGGACGGAAUCAAUCCAACUUAGAUUAAAGCAAAACUAAACCAAUUCAUUCAACGAAACCAAUCCGUACCUAACAAAACAUCUUUUAUUAGAGAACUGCCGAAGAGGAUGGACCUGGACCAUUGCUCGUGGGCCUACUACUGUGUAGGAGUAGAACCAUGUCGGUCCACCGAAGAGGAUGGACCUGGACCAUGUCUCGUGGGCCUGCUACUAUGUAGGCGGAGAACCAUGUCGGUCCACGAGAGCACCUAAUCUUUUAAAAUUUUUUUUAAUAGAAUAAAUUUUUUUAAAAAAAAUAUUAUUUAUUUAUGUAGAAUUAAUGACUAGUUAUUGUAAUAGAAUAAAAUUUUUUCAUUAUUGUAAUAUUUUUUUAAAAAAAAGAUUUUUUUUUCAUUAUUGUAAUUAAAAUUUUUUGAUAUGUCUCUGAUUUCUCCAUCUUAUUAUGGUACAAAUUAAGAGAACGCUACAGUACUAUUAUAUACAACCCUUAGUAAGGAUAAGAUAUUGAUGUGGCUAGGUCUAGUUAGGCUAAACGGCAAGCCCUUAUUUCCACCCUAGUGUGCGCGCAUGCAGAAUUGCAUUGCGUAAAGAGACACAUGAUCCAUUUUACAGUACUGAGCAACAAUAGUUCACAAUAAUUAAGGAGCACAUCCGAUUAUAGAUACUCAAACUUACAUACUCACUGGGCACACCGAAACAGAACAGAGACCACAAUGUCGAAGCAAGCUUAGCUAUUGGAUGCAGCAAACGUCGAUCCUUAUUUAUGUAAGUUAAGCAAAUAAGAUAGCAAACUGCAGUGCAUUGCUAAAUCAUUUACUUCCGACUUAUUCGUAGCUUCAAGUUUCAGAAACCAUCUUAAUAACUGCGACAUUAGCCCCUGAUUGUAGAGUGGGAUAGAGAGGAUCCAUGGCGAUUCCACAUAAUCCAGACGAAGACACACCUCUCGCCAUACGGACGUAUCCACGUUCACCCCAUGAGCUACCCCAUGAGUUCUUUACAAUCCAAUAUUGUGUUCCACUGCUAUCCUGCCCGUAACCUAUAAUGGUGAUGGCAUGAUUGAGACUAGUUCCACAAGGUCCACUAAACACACCGCCAUUGUAAUAUUGAAAGUUGUCUCCACUGGCAUCGAUAGCAGCAGCUAUUGGUUGAUUCCACACAGCGUACUUCAUGCUGCUUUCGUCGUUGCUUCGCACAUAUGAAUAACCAGUAAUGUAAGCUGAAUUGGGCCAGCUAUUGGCGGUGCAAUCGCCUUCGUAUGCUUGAUAAGGAUAGUCAGCUUCGGAGGCCACACCGUUGUUAGAUAUGAUGAAAUCGUAGGCAUUGUCCACAAAGCCGCCGUCGCACCCAUUGCUAACAGCACAAUCGAGAACUUCUUGCUCCGAUAGAGAUACUAAGUACCCUGUUACGAUCUUGUAGAUUCCUUCCACCGUCGCAAUUGCACUGAAUGCCCAGCAAGAACCUAUGCCGAAACAAAGAUAUGUGUUAGCAUAACUGCUGCACGCAAAGUUAUAUAUGAGAUUGCCAUGAUAUAAGGAAACAUUCAAACUAACAAAAUUAGCUGUUAUUUGCAAGUACAGAGCUGCUUUUAACUUGUUUUCAAUGGUUGUCAUGCAUAUGGAUGUCCUGUUCUGACUAACACGUACUUUGCUUACUUUGCUAGUAUGAUUAUUGUGAUUAUUAUAGUAACUUAAUUAAUAGUAAGAGACUCAGCAAAUAGACUUAACGUGUAGAUAGAUUGAAUCAAGUCGAAGCUUGUGAAUAUUGUGGUUGAGUCCUUAAAUGCGAUGGAUGUGUCUUUUUUAUCACCACAUACGUGUUUCUGGGAUAGUUGAUUAGCACUUAAAGAUGCAUUCGAUAGCUAAUCUGAUUUUUCAUUAACUAGAUUCAAUACUUCAUUUCUUUGUGCAUUGAUAAUAUGUGAUAAUCCAUGUUUAGACACUUUUAAUCAGCCGAAGUAAUGGAAUUAUUGAGUUUUAGUGGGCGGAAAUUUGGUCCUUUUGUCCAGAAAAGGCAGAAGGCAUUCGGUAGCAAGCAUAUUUGAUCUAAGCAACAUGUUAGCAGCAUCUUAUAAAGUUAACUAAGAAUAGAUAUUUUACUUUUUUCUAGCUAAAGAAAUGAAGUUGCAUUGACAAUUUAUAGUCUAAAUUAUUUCUUACCACAGGGGUUUUGGUCUUUGACCUCUGUUACGGCACCAUAGUCUCUCCAAUCAAUACUUUGACCCACCGCAGAGAUGUUUACGUCAUCAAAUGACACCACUGGCUCUCUCUUGAAAUUUAGUGGGAGAGAUACACCAGUAUAUUGAGUAACAAAUUCGUUAUUUGUCAUAUCGGUAAACUUAUUGAUACCGAGAGUGUAUGAAUUUCCGUUGCGAUUGUUAAAGGUUUCGAUAUGAUUCACGUUGUUCUUGAAUAUCUGAAACCGGCGCAUCUUCUCGUCGUUGUCCUUGUACACUCGGCCGUACUCUGCCAUCCAUUCUUCAAACCGCUUCAUCAUGGGAUCACUGGGUUCGUCACGAGAAGCUGCCGAUGGCGAAGCCCACAUCACACAGAGAAACAAGAAAAGAAACACGAGUUGAACUUUGGAAGCCAUGCUUAUGUAGCACUAAAUAUCUAGUAUAUGUAUGAGGAAAUUGGAGAUCGAGCUACAAGAGCUUUUGGUGCUGAGAGUAUGGUGUCAAGAUCGAGUUUAUAUAGAAGUUCAUGCCUUGGAAUGUAGGUGUGAGAAUUAAUGGGCGGGGCCUACAAGAUGUCACAAAUUGUCAUCAAAUUAACAUUAAAUAGUUCUGGACAGCUUGCGGCACCACGUCGUGUGGUCACUAGUGUAGUGAUUCACUUAUUACGCCGGGCAGAUACUAUUGAAAUAAAAAUUUGUAUAAAAUAAAAUAUCAGUUUAGCAUGAAAAAUAGUAAAUAUAGUUUGUAUUAUAAACAAACACUUCUAAACAAAAUAAAACUAAAAUAAAAAAAAAAUUAAUCAUUCCAAUAAAAUUAUUCAAACUUGUUAAAAAAUAAUCGCAUAUCAUACAAAUGAAUGAUUAAAAUUAUUUUUAUAAUACAAUAAUCAAAUAAAAUAUCAUAUAGCAGUUAAUAUGACUAAAAAAAAACUCACAAUAAUAUGCAAGACAAUAUAUAGAGUGAGGCUACUAUGCUAUCGGAAGCACGGAGCCUUCCGUGCUUCCAGCUCGUUUUUGAUGUUGCAACUUUUGAAUUGUCGAUCGACUCCGUUAAAUUUGAUCUAGAGUAUUUUGAGUACCUAGAAAAUAAAUUUUAUUAUUUUUCGAUAUCAUUUGCCUAGUGAUCGAAUGGGCUCAAAAUCAACAAAUUUCAAUGGCCGUAGUGAGCCGUUUGCAACUUUAACGGUGUAGAAAUAUCCAAAUAAGGUGAAAUUUUGAUAGAAAAUUCUUUAUACUAUAUAAAACAAGAUUAAUAUCUUUGAUUUAAAAUUUUAAUGUCAUAUUAUUACAUUUUGUAAGAUUUUUAUUUUCAGCCGUUGAUUUUGAGCCCCUUCGUUCACUAGGCAAAUGAUAUCGUAAAAUCAUAAAAUUUAUUUUCUAGGUACUNACUACUUGAAAUAUCAAGAAACCAAAUUUUAAAUCUUUUCGAUAUUAUUUAAAAUUUUUUAAUGUAUAAAUUUUUAAAAAUAGACAAUCGGUGUUAUAAUUUUUUAAUGUAUAAAUUUGGUUUAAAAUUUUUUAAAAUAGACAAUAGGCAUUAUUAAUAGACAAUCGGCAUUAUAAUGUAUAAAUUUUUUAAAAUAGACAACCGGCAUUAUAAUUUUUUAAAAUAGACAAUCGGCAUUAUUUAAAAUUUUUUAAUGCAUAAAUUUUAAAUCUUUUUGAUAUUAUUUAAAAUAGACAAUCGGCAUUAUAAUUUUUUAAUGUAUAAAUUUUUUAAACUUUAUAUAAUUAUAUCAAACAAAUUAAGUUUUAAUUUUAAAAUUUUUUAGAGGAUAAUUAGUUACAUAUUUUGUUCAUUUUGAGAUCUUCUUUUAUCCCCGAAUAAAAUCUAAUAAGAGAUGUAGUGCCAACAUGCAUGUGCUGAGCCUUGAAAACUUUUAGAAUGUAUCCGUUAUAUUUAUAAAAUGACAUCUCUAACCAAUUAAAGAAUUUCUUUUAAAUUUAUUCGUUUCAUAAUAAUUAUAAAAAAUAAAUUUUCUUAUAUUUUCAAAAAAAUUAUAAUGAAUUUUUAUUAAUAAUGUGAUGUAAGUAUCAUAUAGUAGGCUUUCUCGGCCAUGCCAGCUAUAACGCGUUUCCGCACAGAUAACUGCAGUUCAUUCUAUAUUAUUAGGAAGCAUUUUGCUCGUCCUUUGAUUGGACAGAUGCAAUCAUGAGGGGGACACCUCCACUCCGUACACAAGAGUCAUUGCAGCUGAUGUGUUGUUUAGUACUGGAAUUAUUACCAGAGCACGUGUUGCACAUACGGAGGAGUAGUGAUAAGAAAACUCUCAUAAAUUAUUAAUACCGUACAGACUCUCUUAAAUUAUUAUAAAUAUUAGGGAUAACUUCAAAAAAACCCCCUGUGGUUUCGCAUUUUCUCACUUUAGUACCCUAUGGUUUAAAGUGUAUCAAUUUGCCCCCCUGUGGUUUUGUUUUUCUCUUUUUUUUUACCAAUUUUGUUGUUUUUUUUUAAUCAGUAACAAAAUUAAAAUUAAAGGGUACUAAAGUAAAUAUUCGAUAAAUCUAGAUGGAUAUCUGAUGUUUUUUUGUAUAUAAUUUAACAAAAUAUUAAGAAAAAAGCUAUAGAAAAGAUAAAAACAAAACCACAGGGGGGCAAAUUGAUACACUUUAAACCACAGGGUACUAAAGUGAGAAAGUUGGAAACCACAGGGGGUUUUUUUGAAGUUUCCCCUAAAUAUUACAGAUAACUUUCAAGCGAUUAGUCUCUAUCCAAAAUAAUGGUGAUAAUUACGCUUCCUGCUUCCGUUUUGAGUUGCGCAUCUCAAAAUACUUAUUUUACCAUGAAUUGAGCUAGAAUAUUUUUAAAAACACCAUACUAUUAUUUUUUUUGGUGCUUCUAAAUUUUUAGUCAGUGUAUCUACUUCCUAAUUAUUAAUAGCAUUUGGAUCAAACACUAUUCCAUCUAUUACUAUCUACCACCACCUACCACCAUCAUCCCAACCUUAUAUUUCUUCAUUCAAAGGUUAAAAACUCAAAAGAGUAAGAUAAAAGAAUCUUCGAAGUAAACCUAAAAAAUAACAAAAAUAAUUAAAUUUUAAAAAUAUAUAUAACAAAAAAAAAAAAGAUAUGCUCGUUUAAACACUCUAUUUUUCUUCUUCUGAAGAAUCAAACAUCUGAUCGAGUUGACAGCUCGUAAGGCAUUAGUAUUAGCCAAUCUAAAAAUAACGGUGUUCCUUACUGUUUAGAUAACUCUCCAACUGACUGUCAGUUCAGUUAUUCUAUUUCACAAAAUUUAUAUGGGCAAUCUGGACCCAUUGGUCCUUGCUCUCCCUAUUGGAAGAGCAGUAAGAUUUUUUUUUGGUGCACCCGGUGCACUAGUUCGUUUUAUAAUUUUAUUUUUUAUUUUUUAAUUAUAAUUUAAUAAUAUAUAUUAUGAUUUUAAAAUAUAUGUAAAAGAAUUUAGAAUUUAGGAUUUAAAAAUUCUUUUGCAUAAAUUUUUUAAAUAUCAUAAAAUAUAUAUCUAUUNAGAGGGACAACUUUUCACUCGGUACGCAAGAGUUAUUGUGGCUGCGCUUGUACCUCAUUUAUUGUUGUUGCAUGAUUGAAAUUAUUUAGAGCAUGUGUUGCACAACAUGAAUAAGAAUAAGAGUUUAUGCGCAUAUAUAUAUAUAUAUAUAUAUAUAUAGAGAAAGAGAGAGAGAGAGAGAGAGAGAGAGAUUCUAUAUUUUUAAAAGUACUAAGUUAUUAGUAUUUAUAGAUUUUUGGCCAUUGGAUUAAGAGAUAUGUAGUUAGGAUGAUGUGGGACCCCUAAGAUUAAGUGGGUGGUUGGUUGAAUAGUAUAAUAUAACGGAUGAAAAUAAUCAAAAUGAUAGAUUUAAUGGUAAAAAAUUUACAAGCACCAAGUGCUUGAUACUUUUACAAGUAUCAUAGCUGAACUCAUAUAUAUAUAUAUAUAUAUAUAUAUAGUAGCGGAGCUUUGGUACUAUAGUCUUGUUUUCGAUCUUACGGUAUUCAAUUUAACGAUCCACACUGUUAAAUAUGAUUUAGGGUAUAUGAAGUUCUUAGAAAUAAAAUUUUAGUUUUUUUCGACAUCGUUUACUUAGUAAAUAAAUUAUGUCAAAAUGGACGAUGAAAAUUGAAUAAUCUUUAAAAUUUGAGCAUAGGACUUUUAAAUUCAAGAUCAAGAUGUUAACCUUAAUCUAGAUAGUUUAAAGUAUUUUCUAUCAAAAUUUAAAGAAAUUUAGAUUCUUCUACACCGUUAAACUCCAAACUUGCUAUAGUAGCCAUUGAAAAUUGACAAUUUUGAAAUGGUUUGAUCAUAAAGCAAACUAUAUNGCUCCUUCCCUCUCCCUCUCUCUCUCUCUCUCUCUAAAGAGGUAGAGAACGGAAAGCGUUUGGGAGUAGUGGGAGUACGAAAGAGAUUCGACGAGAGAAAAUGGUGCGGAAGAGGAAAAUUAGAGCAUCGCUCACGCAAGUGCUCCAACAGUGGGAGAAGAUCGUGUGAUAUAGAGAAAGAGAGAGAGAGAGAGAGAGAGGGAGAGAGAGAAAGAGAAGGGUGGCUCUGUCACACAUGCGCGCUUACCAAAGCUAAGUUUUUUUUUUUUUUAGAAAAAUAUAGCAACGUUAUUCGUUUUGAAAUUUUAAUUUAGCAACAUCAUUAAAGAUUAAAAAAAUAUUUUUUACACGAGAAAAUAGUCACCCAAGCUAAGUAUUGAGAUGUACUCUCUGUUAUAUACCUAAUGCCUCUCUCUCUCUCUCUCUCUCUCUAUAUAUAUAUAUAUAUAUAUAUAUUAUUGUUUAGAAUAUUAGCUGUGUAUAUAGUUGUCCAGAUUUCACACUUUGAUCUAUAAUGUGAUUUGAAUACUCAUAAAAGGUUAUCCAUAGCCUUCGAUCAUCCACUUUUAACAUGCACAAGACAGACUGUACGUAAAAUUUACUUUUGUUUAAAUAAAUGAAAGAUGGAAUGGUUAAUUUGAUUUGAAAUUUUGUUUUUCUCCCCUUCAACUCAUUACGUUCUAUAUAUUUGUAGUGGCGUUGAACCACAACAAACAUGUGAGUAAUUUAGAUACAACUUAAAUUUAGUUUUUAAAUUUGUAAAUUUGGUAUAUAUUUAAGACCGGACUCUUUGAAUUAUAUCAUUAUAAUAUCAGAGAGAAAGAGAAAAGCUAAAUUUGUAGAAAACCUCCUUUCAUAUGUUGGAUUUUAUACUUUAUUUUCUUCAAAUUUUCAGGCCAAAUCAUUCUGUACCAACUAAGAUUUUAUAUUAGAACCACUCACCCAAUCAUAAAAUAAGAAGCGAAAACAGCUCUAAUAUCGUGUUAAAGAACUAGAAUCUAAUCUAAAAACUCAAACUGAGUGGUAAAAAUAACCUUCACAUUAGGUAUACUAUUUUAUUUUUAUCUAAAAAGAAUCCAAACACAAGUACUCUAAUAAUAUAAUUUUGUAUUUUGUAUUUCAAUUAUAUGUACCUUCCAUAAAUAUUGACCCUCACAUUACCCCAUAAAUAUUCAAAACAAAUAAAUCUACAAAAAUAUUAUUUUUGAGACAUUUUCGUAUCAUAAUGUUUUUUUUUGAUAGAUAGGUAGCACGAUACCCGUUUUGUUUAUUUCAUUUAGAAAUAACUUAGCAAAAAAUAUGAAUCAACUAAGAUUCGAACUUGGUUCUCUGGUACUAAUCACCAAGCUUUUUGCCACUUGCUCUAGAAACGGUCGGUUUUCGUAUCAUAAUGUUGCACUGGUGAAGUUACCCGCACAUUGCGGCGGGCUGAUACUAUAAGAGACAUAAGAUUGACAAACUAAAAUAUUUUAAAAUAUUUUCACUUGUCAUGAGAAAUCAAUAAAUAUAAAUAAAAGAUAUGAAACGGAUAUAGCAAAAUUUAUAAUUUCAGCAAAUAAAUUACACGCAAUAAUAAAUAAAAAACAGCAAUAGAACACUACUCCAUAUGCACCUUAAUUGUGUUGCUGAUAUCGGAAAGGCGAAUCUUGAUCUCCACUUCUCAUUUACCGCCAUUGUCAGCGACGAGUUCCUCUUUAAUCACGGCAAUACAUAUCUUAUUUUAUUUAUUUUUUUAUAAUAUUUAUUUGUUUAAAUGACAAUGAAUGUGAACAUAUUAAUUAAGAAAUGGACACGUGGGAGGACGAAACAUCACGCGGAUAUAAAAGAUAAUAAAUUCGAUUAUUAGAAAUUAAAAAGAAGGCAAGGAUGAGAGAAGAAGAUAAGGUUGAAGGAGACUUUGUCAUGUGGCAAAUUUUAUGAGGAAUAAUGUAUAGAUAGAUAGAUAGAUACAGAGGUAUAGAUAGAGAUAGAUAUAGAUGUGCAGGUGCAUGACCAUCCCAAUUAUUUUGCAACCAACGUACGUAUUUAAUCCGGUGACAACUCAAAUUUAAUUAUUGGAGCAAGAAAGUGUAUGAAAGCCCCUAAACUAUAGGCGACGUUGAAGUAGCUCCUUCAAUCUGGUUUAAUUCUCCCUCGUUGCCAUAUUUUAUAUUAGCUUAUGGUAUUGAGUCAAUGCUUUGAGGUGUCGCUAAUAUGUUUGUAUUAUCUCUUAAAUACGUAAUUAAUGCAAGAGAUAAACUACACCCUACUCAAGUUUUUUUUUUCCCUUCUAAUUAGCUGUCGAAGAUUAACUAAAUAUGGACAGUUGAAAGAAACAUUUCUCUACUUUUCUAUUUUUUCUAAAUCUCUUACAUUUUCUCUUAGAUGUACGCAUGGUACGAUAGUCUUUAUAGUUCUAGUUCUAUCACUAUAACAAAGUAUAUUUUAGAUAAUAUUUUUUGGACGACGCUCUAUUAUAACAUCUUCAAUAUUUGGUAUAUAUCAACAGUAUGAUUAAACUUUGUCAAUAAAUAUAUUUUUAUUAAAAUACUAAUAAAUUUUUCGACACUAAAAGUGCAGAAGAUAAGAUUUAUGCCCCUUGUUCACCCUUAUCUUGACCACAUGUUGCGGUCUAGGUUCUGGGGUGAAGAAGAUCUGCAUUAUUGGGCUUUUUGUCUUUACUAUUUUCUUGACCAUUUGGGCAAUAGAAUUAAGCUCCUAUAUUUUUAAAAGUGUAAGCUAUUGAUGUUUAUAAAUUUUCGACUUUUGCAUUAAGAGAAGUGCGGUUAGAAUGAAAAUGAUUUUUUAGGAUUGAAUGAAUGGUUAGUUGAAUAGUGUGAUCUAACGGAUGAAAAUAGUUAAAGGAAUAGAUCUAACGGUGGAAAACUUAAUUAUAAGCACAAAGUACUCUUGAGCAAUAUUAGUUUUUAUAAAUUGAUGAAAAUUGUUAUGCAUUUAAUCCUAUAUAAUUAAGUAGUGGGGGUAACUUCAAAUAUUUACCUCAAAAAGUAUAGAAUACAAUAAAUGUCUUUAGAAAAUUGCCAAUAUCAUUUUCCCCGCUAUAAAUUUAUGAAUUAUAGUAUAACAUAUUCAUUCUCAGCUUAAUUAAGAUUAUUUGAUGAAUUUUCCCCUAAUACGUAAUGACAAAUAAUAUUUUGGUAUUCAUAUGGGACCGCUGAAGUAGUUUCUCUUUAAAAAAUUGAAGCUAUAAGUAGUUUUUCCAGUUUAGUUUGCUCAGUUUAUAUUUAUUAUUUAGUUUAUGAAUUCCGUUUUUGUCUACUUCAAUAUCAUUUGAUUAUCAUAUUAUUCAUAAAUGAAAAUGGUGAAUAAAAAAGUGAAAUUGUAUCGUACAAUUUGUGAAUAUAUAUUUUUAGUUUACUUUGUUUAAAUUAGUAAGAUUGUUUUAUUUAAUAUUUGUAUAAUUUAAUUUCUUUCAAUUAACUAGAUUUUGUUCGCUAUGCAUUUACUGCAUUUAUGAAAUUUGAAAGGUAAAAAUAUAUAGUUUAAUAAAAAAGUAUUGAUGAUUGGCAAUGGGCAACGUAGAAAUGUUGAAAGAGUUGUCACUGAUCUUAAUAUUUUGAAUAAUCUUUUUUUUAAAUUAGCUAAAUAUUUUUGGCAUUAUUAUUUUAGAAGAGCGAUCUAUGUAUAUAAUGUGACUAAGGAUUAGAAGAGGGUACGUAGAUAUGAUGUUAUUCCUAGGAAAUACACUAAUUACCUUAACUCUUUGAAUGGUUUAUAACGCGGAAACAUUUUGAUAUAUAAUAUAAAGGGUGUAAACUCGAUCAUUAAUUACUCUCGUACAUUCUAGUUUUGUAUACUACUCCAGCUCCAAGGAGAACACAUGCAACGUUCGUUUCUAAUAAAACUAUAAUAAUAAAAAAUAUAAGAAAGAUAAAAAAAAAAUUAUAGGAAUAAUAAAUUAUAUUUAUAGCACCAUUAAAAGUUGAAAAUAAAAAAAAAUCAUGCCUCAUAGUUCGACACAAAAAUUACAACUAGUUAUGAUUUGAGGACUAAGACAUCACGUGCUUUAUAGUUUGAGUAAGAAAAUAUAAAUUAUUAAAAUUCGAUAACUAAAGUAUCAUGUAUCUUAUAGUGUGAGGACCAAAAGUGUAAUUUAUCGUUUUAUAUUUUAAUUUUAUUCCUGAAGAACACAGAGUUGAGCAUCGAUGAGUUUAAUUUAAUUAGUAAUUUCAUCUGAGAAAAGACUAUGUUAAACUAUCUAAUAAUUUUAGAAUGUCUAAUUGUUAAAAUUAAAAGUCAACCAAUUAUAUUUUGGAUAUUUUAAAAGAUUUUAAAUGUAAAAUUAAUCGCUUAUUAGACUAUAAAUAUGUGAUAUUAAAAUCAAAAUAAAAAACAUAUAGAAUUUUUCUAAACUUUGAAUCAUUUUAAACCAGAUAUCCAAUCUUUCAAAAUUUUAUUUUUACUAUCCAACUUUUUUAUGUAAUAAAUUUGAGUCGGUAAAUAAUAUUUUGACUUCAUGUAAUUUUCCUAUCUAAAUUUAUUAAAAUAACUAAGUAAUUUAGACUCUAUUAAUCUCUCUUUUAUUUUUAUUGUAUAAUUUAUAUCUAAGUGAUCAAUAUUAUGAAAUUAAAAUUUAUAUUUAGUAUAUAUAAUUUAAACUAUUUAAAAAUUAUAUGUAAAUAAUUAAAUAUUUUAAAUUUUUAUAAUAAAAUAGAGAUAAAUUAGAUUAUCUUAAAAAAAAAAAAAAAAAAAAAGCCUCCAAGUUCAAAUUAGUAAACUGAAAAAAAAAAAAAUAAAAUAAAAUAAACUGAGCCGGCCCACCCCACGUUUACCCUGUAACAAAACAGAGUAUAAUCCAUAACAAAACAGAGUAUAAUCCAUACAUGAACCUACCCCUCAAUUUGGAGAAAAGUAGGGCCAAUUUUUUUUCCUCAUUUUUUUUUUCAUUUGAUUAUUGUGUUAUAGAAAUAAUUUUAAUCAUACAUUUGCAUGAUAUGUGACCUGUCUUGAACAAUAAUCAAUAGUUUGGUUGAAACGGUUAAAUUUUUUUUUAUUAUAGUUUUAUUUUUUAGAAAUGUUUGUCUAUAAUGUAGACCAUAUUUACUAUUCUUUGUACUAAACUGAUAUUUUGUUCUUUUCCAAAUUUUUCACUUUAAUGGUAUCUACCCAUUGUAAUGCGCGGAUCGCUACACUAUAUACAAGAACAUGCUUCGGCGUUUUUCAAUGAAAUAGCAGAUUGUGGAAUACGAAAACGUAAUAUUACACACGAAAAUAAAUAAAAUAUCUUUUAAUUUUUCAUCAUAGGUGACACAAUCAUUCAGUAAUUUCAAAGAAAGCGUAAUUGGAUUAGCAUUUAGUGAGUCAGAUUUCGAUUUCUUACAUCAUAUAGUGUGUGGGCAUGUACACAAUUGCACCGCACAGAGAUAUAGAUGGACAAUUCUAAUAACUGCAACACGUACUCUAGCUUUACGUACCGUUGCUUGAUGAUCUUAUUCCUCAAAACAGCAUAAACUUACAAAAUACAAACAGUUGGCUACUAUAUAUUAAGCAGCCAGCGGAACUGACAAUAACACAAAACCAAAACAACAAAUGAAAACAACAAGCCCUACUCGAUCAUACAGAUAAUCCUCGCACGAGCAUCGCCCGUUUUAUUACAUAGCUUAUAAGGUACGUAGCACGAAGGGCACUUCACUGCAUGCAAAAUCGCAGCUUCGAUAACCCUUACAUGGAGCUUACACGAUCAUCCGAACCCAUGUCGGAGGGUUCUGUAGUGCGCUGCGACGAAACCAGAGUCGGGUAAAUACCGUAGCUAGCCAGACCACAUAAUCCAGGAUAUGCCGUGUCUCUUAACAUCCUCACGUAUCCAUUUUCUCCCCACGUGUUGCCCCAUGAAUUUUUUAUUAUCCAAUACUUGUCUCCGGUGCUGCUGUCCUGCCCGUAACCUACGACGGUGACGGCGUGGAAAAUAUUCGUCCCACAAGGUCCUUUAAAGAUACCGCCAUUGUAGUGAUUGAAGUAAUAAGAGCUAGCAUCAAUAGCAAUAACUGUCGGCUGGUUCGCCACAGCAUACAUGAUCGCACGUUCAUUGUAGCUAGGUUGUACCUGUUGAUAGCCGGUAAUAUAAGCUGCGUUCGGUUUGCUAUUUGCAGCGCAAGUGCCUUUAUAUCCUACAUAGGGAUAGUUCGCCUGCGCGGUCACGCCCUUGUUAGCGAUGAUGAAUUCGUAGGCUUUGUGCACCCAACCAGAUGUGCACCCGUUGCUAACAGUACAAUCUAAAACUUCUUGCUCCGAUAGAGAUAUUAGUUGUCCUGUUUUGAUCUUGUAGAUGCCUUCUACCGUCGCGAUUGAAGAGAAUGCCCAGCAAGAACCUAAUUUCAAAACAUAUAUUCAAGUAAUUAGCACAACUGGUACAAGCAAAAGUUUCGUAGAUUAUUAAUUAAGAUGUAAGAAGAACAUUCAAACAAGUAUGGACAAGGUGGAAAUAUUGAUUACUGUAUUACUUUAUUAUCUAUGUUGUUUACUUGUGUGAAAAUGAUUAAUGUCGUCAUACUUCUUGUCAGAAAUUAAUUUUUCUAGAAACUUAAACUAUCGAAGAAUGAUUUCUAAUUAUUAAGAAUUAAUACACCUUACGUGUAAUCUACAAAUUUAUAGAUAGUAGAUGAUAACGUGUGUUCGUACACUUUUAGUUCGUCUGAGACAUGAACCUUGCAUUUAAAUGCGGUAGAGGUUUGAUUUCUUUGUCAACAUAAAUGGCUGAUGGAACAGUGAGAUUUGGGCCCAAGGCAUCCUAUUCUCAUCAGGUUAAUUAAAAAAUAAAAUUUGUAAAGGUUCAGGAUGCUAUAGCUAGAAAUUAAUGUGCUUUAGUUCUCUAAACUCAACACUUGAUUCUUACCGCAAGAGCCUUGAUUCUUGACUGGUGUGACGGCACCGUAAUCCCUCCAAUCAAUGCUUUGAGGUAUCGCGGACAUGUUUACAUCCUCAAACGACACCGAUGGCUCUAAAUUUGUCAUAUUUAGAGGAAGAGAUAGACCGACAUGCUGAGCCACAAUUUCAUUAUUUGUCAUGUCAGCGAAUUGGUUAAUGCCCAGAGUAUACGAGUUUCCGCCACGCCUGUUAAAGGCUUCGAUGCGGUUUACAUUGUCUUUAAAGAUCUCAAAACGGCGCAUCUUCUCAGCAUCGUCACUGUAAACUCGGCCGAAAUCAGCCAUCCAUUCUUCAAACCUCUUCAUCAUCGAAUCAUCUGCUUCGCCGCGAGAAGCCAACGACGAAGCCCACAUCACAGAAAGAAACAAAAAAAGAAACAAUAUUUGGAAUUUGGAAGCCAUAGCUCUGACUUACAAAUGCUUUUGUUGCUGAGAGUUAGGCUCUCCGCAUCGAGUUUAUAUAGAAGUUCUCGGCCCAUGCACUAAAGUUGCUGGACCAUUAAAUNUCGAAUCAUCUGCUUCGCCGCGAGAAGCCAACGACGAAGCCCACAUCACAGAAAGAAACAAAAAAAGAAACAAUAUUUGGAAUUUGGAAGCCAUAACUCUGACUUACAAAUGCUUUCGUUGCUGAGAGUAAGGCUCUCCGCAUCGAGUUUAUAUAGAAGUUCUCGGCCUAUGUACUAAAGUUGCUGGACCAUUAAAUUUUAAUUUUUUAAAAACUUUUUUUAGAGGAAAAGAUACAACGUGCAUGUGAUGAAAUCAUUAAUUAAUUUCUCUCUUAUCCAUUGUUCGAUAGGAAAGUCGCAAUCAAGAGAGGUACAACUUUUCACUCCGUACGCGAGAGUUAUAGUGGCUGAGCUUGCCCCUCCAUGUGUGUUGACGUACGUCGUUGCAUGAUUGAUAAUACAGCAUGCGUUGCACAACAGGAAUUAAAAAUACAGCAUGUGCAUGCGCAACAGGAAUUAAAAAAUACAGCAUGUGUCGCACUAUAGGAAUAAGAAUAAGAGCCGCACAUAAUUUUAAAAUGAUAUAUGUACAUUAACAAAUAUUAUUAUUGUUUACAAUAGCUCUUUUUCUUUUUUUUUUCUUUUUUUUUUGAGAGGAAUCUCAUCAAAAAUAGAGAAUUGUCUAGAUAUCUAUCGUUUCCUGAUGUGUCGAUAUGUUGAAGGUGUUUUGGAUUAUAGUGGCGUUGGACCACAACAUACAUGUGAGUAGUUUAGAUAUCAUGUUAUUUUCUGUAGAUAUUUAAGAUUUCGAUAAAUUGAACUACAUGUCUCUAUUUUUUAAAAAAUUUGAUAUAUAUUUAAGACAUGACUCUUUCAAUUAUAUCAUGCUAGUUCUUAUUCUGAAUAAAAAAAAGGGCUAAAUUUUUUCUGAGUAGAUUUUUCUUUUUUCUUUUUCUUUUCUCUCUCUCUCUCUCUCUCUUUUGAGACCUAGUAGUCUUAUAUUUUGUAGCUAAGUUUAUUUUCGAAAUGAAUGAAGCAGAUAGCUUGCUAUCUUUUUCUCAAAAAAAAAAAAAAAAAAAGCUUAAAUUGAAUCAGUCAAACCUAUCCCCUGCUGUGUAUCAGUUACAACCUCAAUUUUAAAUAUGUUGAAAGGCAAAUUGCACUAAUAAUCUCAACAAACUUCUAUUUUUAGUCCUCAAUUUUAAGUUUUCAAUAUUUGGGACUCGUGACUAUCCAUUCUAGUGCUUAGUUAAAAAAAGUAAAAAAUACAAAAAAUUACGAGCAAAUUAAGCUAAAUUGUAGAAAAGCUCCUUACAUAUGUUGGAUUUUACACUUUUUCUUCAAUAUUUAAACUAUCAGCCAAAUCAUUAUAUACUUUACAACCACUCGCACCAAUAUAAAUUAAGAAGCGAAAAAAGUUCUAAUAUCGUGUUAAAGAACUGAAUCUAAUCAAAACAAAGUCACGGUAAAGAUAACUCUCACAUUAGAUGUACUAUUUAAUAUUAUCUAAUAAUAUAACCAAACAAGUACUCUAUAGAUGAGCGUACAUGCUAUCAGAAGCAGUCGAUGAGCUUCCCGUGCCUUCCAAGUCGUUUUGACUGUUGCGACUUGCGAAUCGUCGAUCGACUCCGUUAAACUUGAUCUAGAGUAUUUGAAGUACCUAGAAAAUAAAUUUUAUGAUUUUACGAUAUCAUUUGCCUAGUGAACGAAGGAGCUCAAAAUCAACGGCUGAAAAUAAAAAUCUUACAAAAUAUAAUAAUAUGACAUUAAAAUUUUAAAUCAAAGAUAUUUAUCUUGUUUUAUAUAGUAUAAAGAAUUUUCUAUCAAAAUUUCACGUGAUUUGGAUAUUUCUACACCGUUAAACUUGCAAACGGCUCACUACGGCCAUUGAAAUUUGUUGAUUUUGAGCCCAUUCGAUCACUAGGCAAAUAAUAUCGAAAAAUAAUAAAAUUUAUUUUCUAGGUACUCCAAAUACUCUAGAUCAAGUUUAACGGAGCCGAUCGACGAUUCGAAAGUCGCAAUAUCGAAAACGAGUUGGAAGCACGGAAGGCUCCGUGCUUCCGAUAUCAUAGUAGCCUCACUCCUCUAAUAAUAUAAUUUUGUAUUUUGUAUUUCAAUUAUAUAUACUUUCCAUAUUGACCCUCACAUUACCCCAUAAAUAUUCAAAACAAAUAAAUCUACAAAAAUAUUUUUUUUUGAGAUAUUUUUGUAUCAUAAUGUUGCAUGUGCAUGUGCAUGUGCAUGACUUUUCAAAUUGCCUGGGACAAAAAUAUUAUAUGUUUGGGGACUUUGCGGAUCGGCGCCACGUGGUCGAUUCAAUGGUCACGGAUCUCAGUUGCUUUUUCUCUCUCUCUAAAAACACAGAAUUUUUUUUUUGUCUUUCCAUCCGUGGCCAUCGGAUCGGCCACGUGGCACCAAUUUGCAUAGUCCCAAACACAUGCCCAUAAAAUUUUUGUACAAUUGUCUGGGGGCCAUCCCAAUAAUUUUGCAGCCAACGCAUUCAAUGCGGUGACAACUUAAAUUUAAUUAUUGGAGCAAGAAAAUGUGAAACCCUUAAACUUUAAGCGACUUUGAAAUAGCUCCUCAAUAUGGUUUUUCCCUCAUUGCCAUGUUUUAUAUUAGUUUAGGGUGUGUUUAGUUCUACCUAAAAUUGUUCCAAUUUUUUUUUUUCGGUUGAAAAGUAAAAUCUCAAAACAGAACCAGAAACCAUAAUGUCGAAGCAAACAACAGAACCAGAAACCAUAAUGUCGAAGCAAGCUUAGCAAUUGGAUGCAGCAAACAUCCAUAUUUAUGCAAGUUAAGCAAACAAGAUAGCAAACUGCAGUGUUGCUAAAUCAUUUGCUUCCCACUUAUUAAGAUGAGCACAAUGUCGAAAAAAUAUUAUUAUUAUACUUUCAAAAAUACAAUUAAUUUAUUAUUGAUAAUGUGGUAUAAAUAUGAUACGGUAAAUUUUCUCAUCGUCAUUUGUUUGGACCGAUACGAUGUAAUCGGGAGGGGUACAACUUUCACUCUUACGCAAGAGUUAUUGCUGUUGAUGUGUUGUUUAUUGGGACAAAAGUUUUAUAGGCAUAGUGCUCAAACUAAUUAAUUUGGAGAUUAUGCGGACUGAUGCCACGUGGCCGAUCCGACGGCUACGGAUGGAAAAAAAAAAAAAAAAAAAUUCGUGAUUUUAGAGAGAGAAAAAAAAGCACGGAGAAUCCGUGCCCGUCAGACUGCCACAGGGCGGCCGUAUCCGCAUAGUGCCCAACCAAACUAAUUAAUUGAGCACUACAGCCCAUAAAAUUUUUGUCCGUUUAUGGAAUUAUUUUUUCAGGAGAAGAAUGACGCUAAUCUGCUACCAUAAUAAAGAGGGUGAAUUAAUAGCUACAAGGAUGAGGACAGCAACGUGUCACAGAAAGAGAGACAGAAAAAAAAACAACGAAAAAAAACAUAGGAAGGUAGUUUCGAUUACAAGACCCAAAGAAUGUUCCAAGAGUUUUAUUGGAAUGAUACGCGAAUCAUGUUUGCACAACGGGAGGAGGAGCAAAUAAGAGAGCAAGCAUAAAAAUUACAACGCGAUUCACGCUCUCUUAAAAUAUUAUAAAUAUUUACAAAAUACCUUUUAAGCGAAAAUAGUCCCAUCAAAACAUAUGUUGAGAGUUACAAAUAAGGACGUGUUUUGGUUCGCUUUUUUUUCGCGCCUGGAAUCAAACUUCGAAAUCGGAAUGGGUAAAUCACAUUUGUGGGUGUUGGUACGGCGGAGUGCCAUCCAAUUCCCGAUGCCCGAGUGGACAUGGAAUCCCCCAAUCACUCUCUUUUCAUUCCGCGGCUUAGGAGGCCGAAUUGAAAUUGAAUCCGACGGAAUGAUAUUUAAUUCGGAUUAAAUUUAUUUUUAAUUGUUUUUAAUUAAACAUAGAGUUAAAAUCAAAAUUAAAAAUAUAGUAAUUUUUAAAUUUAAUUUAAAACCUAAAUUAAAAUUAAAAUGUAAAUCAAAGUAUUUCGAAUACUAAACUUAAUGAAUUGAAUUUAAAAAUUAAAUUUUAAAAUUUAUAUAAAGUUUUAUUCAAAUUUAUUGCAACCCUAAAUUAAAUUUAUGAUUCAAAUUAAAAAUUUAAAUUUGUAAAUUUUAAGUUGAAUUUGAAUAAAUCUAAAUUUAUUUCAUAUUUUUAAUUCAUCACACUCACUUAAAGUUUAUUUUUUUAAAAAAAAUAGAUUUUAAAUUUGACAUUAUUCAAAUUUUGAUAUAAAUUUUAAUAUUUAAUUUUAAUUUGAAUUUAAAUUAUAUAUGAAAAGAUAAUGUUAGUAUAGUUAAUUGAUUACUUUUUAUAUCCACCUGAACCAAACACUGAAUAAGGAAUGAUUUAUGCGAUUCCGAUUCAAGGUAUUAAACCAAAUCAGGGAAUAGUAAGAGCAAUUAACAAUUCCGAUUCCAGCUUUUGGAUUCCGAUUACGCGAUUGCCGACUCCGAUUUUCGAACGACAAACACUGCCCUAUUACCAUUGACUUUUACCAUUGACUAUUAUAUAUCUAUUAAUAGUCGGCUUAAAUUUUUAUAGUGAUAUCAAUAAAAAGGGGGGCGACGAUAUUGCCCAGGCCAUUCAUUGAAGAGGACAUGACCCUACAUAUUUUUGAAAUGCCCUCUAAAUAUUUUAUGCAAUACAUUUAUAUCAUCAUGCAUCACAAUGAAUAAUUAAAAAUAAAAAUAAAAAUAAAAAUUAGAAUUAAAACUAAAAUUAAACUUUUAAUGUAAAUAAAAGUGCAAUCAAAUUUAAAUCUAAAUUUAAAUUGAAAUAAAUAAAACUAAUUCAACAUCUAAUUUGACAAGUAACAUUAGUGAAUUCUUAAUUGGAUUCAAUUGAAUUUUCAAAUUCGAAUUACAUUUGAGUGCAGCUAAGAUCAAAGUUUAAAUGAAAAUUGACCAAAUAAUGUAAGCUGAAAUGCAGCUAUUGCGUUACAAGUGCCUGGUAAUGCUUGAUAAGGAUAGUAAAGCGCGCUUCGACAGGUCACCCGUUGUUAGAUAUUAUGAAACGUAGCCUUGUCCACCCAACCGCCUGCACCCAUAGUCCGUAGUUUAAUAAUACAACAGCACAAUCGAGAACUUCUUUCUCCGAAAGAGAUACUAAUCCCUGCUUUGACUUGUAGAUCUCUUUCACUGUCGCAUAUUGCACUGAAGCCUGCAAAACCUAUGCAGAACAAAGUUUUACGUAGCAUAACUAACUAGAGACAAAGUUAUAUAAUGAUAUACGCAUGAACUAAGGAAACAUUCAAACUAACAUAAUUAACGUUAUUUGCAAGUACAGAGCGCUUUUAACUUGUUUAAGAUUUUGAGUGUUAUAAAAUUGUCACCUAAAAGAUAUUGGCGGUUUGAACUCUCAUACACGACAUGUUUCAAAAUUUAGAAAAUUAACUAGUAGAGGAAAAAGUACAGACUAGAGGAUCACAUUUCGGAAAUUCUGAAGAUGAUUUUUCGGCCAAUCCAGAUUCGCAGCACACAUUAGAACAAAAUAAUGAUUUGAACACUCUAACAAGAUAUAGCAGUGUUGCGCACUUUAAUAUGCACAAACAUAACUAUACGAAGUAUGUUGUAUACAUUAAAUUUACUAUGUCCAAAUAAUAGGUUAAAGAUGGAAUACGAAUGAGAUUGAUUUCUUUUUUUUCCGCUACAACUCAGUUAGGUUUUGUUCUUUUACAGUGGCGUCCGACCGCAAACAUACAUCAUACCGAUUAUAUACUCAGAUCCAAUUUUAUUCGAACCAGAUAAUAUAGAAUUUGUAAUGCACUAUAGUCCUAAAACCUUAAUUAGUUAGGCUAAAUAAGAAAAAUCCUCUUGUUAACCAUCUGUUUUCACUUCCUCCAUGCUGCAUUUAAAAAUCUAUAACCUUGCGCCCCCCUAAAAAUAAAAAAUAUUCAUAUUCGGUUCCUGCCGUCAGUUUCUAGUUGAGGUUCCAUUUCAUAUCUUAUUUUUGUAAUUCAAAAUAUUUCUGAAUUCUCAUCUACUAUCCACACACCAUGACCGCCUCGCUCUGCCCACUCCCCUUCAUAGCGUAGAUGCAUCCACGCCUGCUCUCUGCCGCCUGGAAUGACAAGAUUGGGGAACAGAAAUAAAGAAAAGUAGGAACAUUUGUUCAUCUUUAUCACACCAAUAUCAUUCUAUAAAUACGUUUUUAUUUUUCGAUAAAAAAAGCAAAGUAUCAUGAUUUUUUUUUAAAAAAAACAAGAAAAACGGCUUUGCUAAAGGUUUCAUAUAAUAGCCAUUUAAUUAAUGCGAGCAACAUUCGCAAACUGAAAAAUGCUAGAAUGCACGGUUAUAAUUAGUGACCGUACGCGGCAUAACAAACCAAUUACAUUAAUCCUUUUAAAAAUAUAUGUCCGCAUCAUGAAUGUAAAGAGUAUUUAUUGUACUUUAUUUUGAAAAGAUGAUAUGAUUGGCUUUUAUGAGACGUGGUGCAAAUGUGACAGUGAGAUUCCUCUUCCAAACAUAAGGCACGCCCUCAGCUCAAACAUUCCAAACUAGGUCCAAACGUUCUUCUUUUUUUAAAAAAAAGUUGAGUUUUGUUUUUAUUUUUUUGAUAAUUAGAUUAAAAUAUUAUAAGAUUUUUAUCAGAUUUUCCUGUGAUCCAUCAAAUUUAAACAGUUGACCAUUCUGCAUUGAACUUAAUAAUUACUAAAAUUCAAGAUAUAUUUAUCAAAUAUAUCAAAUAAAAAUUCAUAUAUUUACAUAGGCGAAGGUACGUAGGACGUAAUGCAUCCCAAAUGGAUUAACCAAGUUCAUCGCAUCGAAACCAAAACGCAUACUUAACAAAAAACGCGUCUUUUAUUUAGUAACUGCCAAAGAUGAAGAACCAUUUCGGUCAGAGAACACCUAAUAUUUUUAAGUAAGAUUCAAAAAACCUCCAUGUGAAUUCGUAGUUUCUCACUGUUGCCUCCCUGUGUUUAAAAUGUAUCAAUUGCUCCCCCGUGUUCUUUUUCUCUUUUUUAUCAUUGCAUUUAUUUUUUAUCUUAAUCAGUCUAAAGUUAAAAUAAAAGUAUAAAAUAAAUAUUUGAUAACUCUAGAUGGAUAUCUGAAGUUUUGUAUAUAAUUUGAUGAAAUAUUAAGAAAAACUACCAAAAAAUAAAAAUGAAACCACAGGGGGCAAUAUUGAUACAUUUUACACCACAGGGAGGUAAGUGAAAAACUACGAAACCAUAGAAGGGAGUUUUUGAAGUUUUUCUUUUAAAAAAAAAAAAUUAUUUAAAUAGACUAAUUUUUUUAAAAAAAUAUUAUUUAUUUAUGUAAUUCAAUGACUAUAAUUGUAAUAGAAUAAAUUUUCUCAUUUAUUGAAUAUUUUUUUAAAAAAAAUUUUUUUUUAUUGUAAAUUUUUGAUCCGUCUGCUGAUCUCCAUCUAUUAUGGUCAGAAUUGAGAGAAAGCUAGAUACACAAGCCAUUGCAUAAGUUACAGAUAUGGUGUGGCUCAGUCGAGUAGGUUAACGGCAAACCCUUAUUUCCACCCAUAGUUGGCCGCACAUACACAAGUUGCAUUGCAUAAAGAGACCAUGUGAUCCAUUUAUAGUACUAACCAAGGCACACUAGUCCACAUAAAUGAAGGACACAUCAUUAUAGAUUUCAAACUUAACAUACUGAUAGAGACACACCGGAAACAAAACAGAAACCCACAAUGUCGAAACAAGCUAGCACUUGAUGCACGCAAAAUCCUUAUUUAUGUAAGAAACGCAAAUAAGUAGGCAAACUAGCAGGUCGAAAAAAUCAUUUGCUGUUCCGACUUAUUACGUAGCUUCAAUUUCAGAAACCCAUCUUAAUAACUUCGGCAUUAGCCCUGAUUGGAAGUAGGAAUAGAGGAGACAUGCGAUUCCACAUACUCCAGAAGACGAUACACAACUCUGCCCAUAACGACGUAUCCACUUCUCCCCCCAUGACUGCCCCCACGAGUCCUUACUAUCUAAUAUUUUUAGUUCCACGGCUAUCAUGCCCGUACCUAUAAUGGUAAUGGCAUGAUUAGAGACUAGUUCACACAGGUCCGGCGCUAAACACAACCCCAUUGUAAAUUGAAAGUUUCACUGGCAUCGAUAAGAGCACUAUGUUGAUUCGACACAGCGCGUACAUAUGCUGCGUCAAUCGUUCCUUCGCACAUAUGAAUAACCAGUAAUGUAAGCUGAAUUAGAACAGCUAUUGGCGUUUGGCAAGUGCCAUUGAGCUAUGCUUGAUAAGGAUAGUUUUUCGUGGUCACACCGUUGUUUAUGAUAUGAUGAAAUCGAGGCCUUGUUCACGAAACCUAGCCGCCUUUGCAACCGCUACUACAGCACAUCGAGGAACUUCUUGCUUCCGAUAAAGAUACUAAGUUACCCCUGUUUUAUCUGUAGAUUCCCUCACCGUCGCAAUUGCACGAAUGACCAGCAAGAACCUAUGCCAAACAAAAGAUACGCGUUAGCAUAACGACGAAGCAAAGUUAUAUCUGAGAUGCAAUGAUAUAACGAAUAUCCUCACAACUCAACAAUAAUAUAAAUGUUUUUGGCAAUACAGACUGCUUUUAACUUUAUUUCAAACGGUUUGUCAAGGCAUAUGGAGUCCUGUUCUUUUUGACUACAACGACUUUGGCUUACUUUAUAUAACUGAUUAUGGCAUAACUCAAUUAAUAGUAAGAGAACUCAGCAAAUAGAGCUAAUUGCAAAUAGAUUGAAUCAAGUCGAAGCCUGUGAACAUUGUCCUUGAAUCCUUAAAUGCGAUGGAUGUGUCCUUUUUAUCACCAUGUAUGUAUUUUUGGAUAGUUAAUUAACACUUAUAUAUACAUUUGAUGGCUAAGUUGAUUUUUUAUUAACUAGAUUCAAUACUUCAUUUCUUUGUACAUUGAUAAUGUGUGAUUAUACAUGUUUAGACACUUUUAAUCAGCCAAAGUAAUGGAAUUAUUGAGUUUUAGUGGGCGGAAAUUUGGUCCUUUUGUCCAGAAAAGGCAGAAGGCAUUCGGUAGCAAGCAUAUUUGAUCUAAGCAACAUGUUAGCAGCAUCUUAUAAAGUUAACUAAGAAUAAUUUUUUUUUCUUUUUUCUAGUUGAAGAAAUGAAGUUGCAUUGACAAUUUAUAGUCUAAAUUAUUUCUUACCACAGGGGUUUUGAUUCUUGACCUCGUUUACGGCACCAUAGUCUCUCCAAUCAAUACUUUGAGGCACCGCGGAGAUGUUUACGUCAUCAAAUGACACCACUGGCUCUCUCUCGAUAUUUAGUGGGAGAGAUACGCCGGUAUAUUGAGCAACAAAUUCGCUUUUUGUCAUAUCGGUAAACUGAUUGAUACCGAGAGUGUACGAAUUUCCGUUGCGACUGUUAAAGGUUUCGAUAUGCUUCACGUUGUUCUUGAAUAUCUGAAACCGGCGCAUCUUCUCGUCGUUGUCCUUGUAAACUCGGCCAUACUCCGCCAUCCAUUCUUCAAACCGCUUCAUCAUGGGAUCACUGGGUUCGUCACGAGAAGCUGCCGAUGGCGAAGCCCACAUCACACAGAGAAACAUGAAAAGAAACACGAG